GAGUUGCGACCAAGCCUGCUCUAGCUUCUGCAGCGUGCAUGUUGGCAGCGCCACCGUGGUUGCUUAAGCAAAUGCAUCCAACUAGAUCGUCCUUGUGCUGAAUAAUUGGAUAUCGUAUCCACUUAAAGCUGCCUUGUGUAGUACGUCUUUGUGUCUCUCUUUAUAUUCCAAUAAGGUCGGUGAUCUUGAUGCCACACACUCAGAUGUGUGUUCAUCUCCAGAUACUACUCCAUGCUACCUGCCCUUUGUGUUUUGUUCAAUAACUGGGUAUCAUAUCCCAACCAGUAUGCCGUCUGUUUUGUGUUUGUUUCCUUCUAGUUCCAAAAGGGUCAUCAUGAUGUUACCUUCUUUCAAUAUGGUGCUUUGCAUGACUACUAUUGUAUGGUACCAUCUUGUGGCCAAUAAGUACAUCUUAUCCUAUGACCUUUGCUAUGACCCUUUGCAAAUAAGUAGAAGAUUGUUAUAAGCGUCAAUACUCCUUAUAAAUUGAUCGCUGCUGUGAGUUCCCUUUCAGCUUAUCGUAGGCAUACAUUAUUGCUAGCACGGUAAAGCCAAUCAACACGAAUGAUGAAGUAAAUGUAGCGGUACUUCUGUAUACCAACACCCUUACUUAAAUGUACCGGUGUCAUUCCCUACUGGCACAUAUAUUCUUAUAUGCUAGCCAGCUUGUAAAAUUAACCAAUUAAAAUAAUUAAUUCAAGAUAGAAAUAACUUAUCGGCUUCUCGAAGCAUGUGUAAUAUGAAUCGCUUCAUCUAUAUUGCUUUCAGGAUUUUGGGUAACUAAAUUUAACAUUUGCACAUACAAAUGUUAAAGUACAAAUGUUAAAUCUAGUUACCCAAGCAGAAUAUGAAUAUACUCUAUAGUAUAUAUAUACUAUAUAAAUCUAGUUAACAUUUAGUCUAAAUGUUAAAUCUAGUUACCUAAAAUCCUGAAAGCAAAAUGUAUAAAUAUAUAUCUUUUAAGGCAGUAUAAGCUUCGAUUCCUAUUGCUGCUCUGUUAAAUCUCAUCUUUCGUUGUGGCCCAACACUCUAGUAUGUAUGUUGCACCAAGCUUCCUUGAGCCGCUCUGCCCUCUGAUUUUGCUGCGUAGGGGAAUCUUUAUCAGGUUGGGCUGCUUCCAGUCAUACGAUGUGUGGCUUCAUAUCUUCUACAAGUUAGACAGGAAACCCGCGUUCUGGAAGAUUCUGCAACGUGCACGUUGGCGCUGCCACCGUGGUUGCUUAAGCAAAUGCAUCCAACUGAAUCGUCCUUGUGCUAAAUAAUUGGAUAUCGUAUCCACUGCUUAAAGCUGCCAUGUUUAGUACAUCUUUGUUUUUCUCUCUUUAUAUUCCAAUAAGGUCGGUGAUCUUGAUGCCACACACUCAGAUGUGUGUUCAUCUUCGGAUACUACUCCAUGCUACCUGCCCUUUGUGUUUUGUUCAAUAACUGGGUAUCAUAUCCUAGUCAGUGUGCCAUCUGUUUUGUGUUUGUUUCCUUCUAGUUCCAAAGGGGUUAUCAUGAUGUUACCUUCUUUUGAGGUGUCUAUGACUUUGUUAAUAUCAAUAUUAACCAAUUCAAUCUAUCUUAACUAUUUGUAAGGGGUAUGAUGUAUGCAUGAUUAUAACAAUGAUUGCGCAUACAAUCACUGCCAAAGAAACGGUCAAUACCAUAAAGACAUAUUACAGACAAUUCUCAUAAUUUAUAAUGAAUAUACAUAUUCACUACUGCAGAGACUGUCAUUUGUAUCAGCUCAUACGUGCCAGGGCAAAGGUCACCCUUGCAUUAAAAGUACAUUUGCACGGUAAAGAUAACCAACACGAAUAAUGAAGUAAACAUGCCGGUGCUUUUGUACACCAACACGCUUACUUAAAUGUACUGGUGUCAUUCCUCACCGGUAGCCGGCUUGAAAAUUAACCAAUUAGAACAAUUAUUUAUUGUAUCGGUGUGAAUUUUGACCUAUUGGAAUAUGAAUUUGACCGUUACUGCAUUCGUCAAGACUCAAGAGAGAAAUAACUGAUCGGCUUCUUAGAGCGUGUGCAAUGUGAAAUCAAGGACUGGAUGGAAGUUGAAGCGCUAGCUUCAUCUUCCGCUGCAUGUUAAUUGCUUGGAUAAGAAGUUGUAGCCGCGUAUAUAAAUAGUCCCGCUGAUGCUGUGCUCCGAAGUCUAUACUAUAUAUGCGAAAACUAGAUUGCUUUCAGGAUUUUGGGUAACUAAAUUUAACAUUUGUACAUAAAAAUGUUAGUUUACGAAUGUUAAAUCUAGUUACCCAAGCAGAACAAGAAGAUAGUAUAUACUAUAUACUAUGUAAAUCAAGUUAACAUUUAGUCUAAAUGUUAUAUCUACUUACCCAAAAUCUUGAAAGCAAAGAAAGAAUAAGUAUAUAUCUUUUGUUGGAAAAUUGGUCCACGGAGAGUGGCCUCGUUCGUUUCACCGGGAUGGAAUUCCAGUCAGGAUUACUUCCAAGUCCGGUUUAAGUGAUUCCACCCAUGUCACUCAAUUCGGCUAGGAUUCAUUCCAGGGGUGAGGAGGUAUGGUUUCAAUCCGGGCCAUCUAAUGUAGAAGGAUUCCAAUCCAGGCCGGUUUUCGUUCUAGGCUAGACUAAAACGAACAACACUUUCAAUGCAAGUCUGGUUUCAAACCGGGCCACUUCAAACCACCCGGAAUGGACCUCAUUCCGGGCCAAUCCGGUGAUAACAAACGAGGCCUUAAUGGAAUCCCAAAGCAAGAGUUCAGUGGCAUUCUAUAGUCCCAUGCUGCUAGUUUGAGUUGGUCGAAGCCAACUUAAAUAGGAGAGCUCUCUCACUUCUCUAAAAAUGUAACUGAAGGAGAGAAGGGGGCUUGGGUUACACAACGCACGCACGCACGCAUAUUUGCAUUCUUUUCGCGUAACCGACCGCGUGACUUGAAACUUGCGACGUAGCGUGCUGCUAAGUCAAGUUGAUAUAACCUUUUUGCCGUUUGCGUGUAAUCUUUUGACAACGGUCAUUGGAGGUGAUAAGCACGCAGUCAAUACCUUAAUCCUGAGUUAAUAGGGCGGUUACUACUGCCAAUUAGUGCAGCAAUUUUGUAGGGGAAACGGUUAGCAGAGGGCUACCGUCUUCUCUAUAAGAAGUUUUGGAGACGUUCAGGAACACACAUGUACAUGUGAGAGACCCACGGAUUCCUUCCCUUCUCCCUUUUCCAUCUGGUGAAGUGUGCUAUGGUACUGAGCUGCUGGAUCUCGCCGGCUCUUCUCCUUGGCGUGCACCGAGGAGGAGGGUGAGCGGUAUCUCUGAGCUAUUGCCGUCAGGAAGCCUGCACGAGGGACAACAAUAAAGUUUUUAGGUAGCGCCUGCCUAAUCUUCGAUCUGCACUGCAACGUGUAACCCUGCAGCAACUCUACACGAGGACGGAGCACUAAUCUGUAAGUCCUAGAUUGGUUUCUUACAUAGUUGUAGGUUACACAAGAUCUAGAAUGGUUACAUACCAAUUAUUAUGGGUUACAUGAUGUUUUGUACGGUUUCGUCUAUUUUGCAUAUGCUAUUUUUUCUAUUUUGCAUAUGCUAUUUUUACAUACCGUUUACAUGCAUAUGUUAAUGGUUACACCUAGCUAUUUGAAUCUAGAAUUGGGUUACAUAGCAGUAGCAAUGAGUUACGUAAUAUGCCUCACGUUUAUAUCUGGUAGAAUUUAACACGUAUCUCCAACAUAUUUUGAGGCAGUAUAAAUUUCAAUUCCUUUUGCUGCUCUGUUAAAUCCCGUCUUUCGUUGUGGCCCAACACUCUAGUAUGCAUGUAGCACCAAGCUUGUUUGAGCCGCUUUGUGCUUUGAUUUUGCUGCGUAGGGGAAUCUGUAUCAGGUUGGACUGUUUCUUUGUCUUGCGAUGUAUAGCUUCAUAUCUUCUAGAGGUUAGACAGCAAAACCCGCAUUCUCUUAAGGCAACAACCCGAAGAAUCUGCAGCGCCUCUGAUAUAUCACUGCUGCAGAAACGAUCUUUAGUACUGAUCUCCAACCCUCUUUAGUAUCGGUUGGGCAACCAGUACCACUAUGUCGGUACUAAAGGGAGUUCUCUAGAAUCGGAUCAAAUAACCGGUACUAAAAGGGCUCCUUUACUACCGGUUGGUAACAACAAUAGGUAGUGACUUUUUUGCACCCAAAAAAUUAAAGAAUAACAGCCGGGAGGCUCGCACACACACGCAUCAUGAGUAAUAUGCGCGUGCAUGGUUUGUGGGAUUUCAACCCACGACCAAGCUAUAAGAACGUAGUUACAACAAAUCAAACACUUAGACAUUUUAGAGCAUCCCAAAUAACUACAAAUUCUAUAGUUUACCAUAUACCAUAAAAUAUUAGUUAAAAUAAGAGCAUACACAUGUCGGAAGAGUCCCAAUGCACCGGUUGAGGAUCAGACCAGGCACUUUGAAUGCACAUGCCAUAAGAUAAUUCUGCAGGACAAUGAUUGCAAUAAUGGACCAUCGAGAAGAUAGGGGCGAUGGGGUUGCCUCAUCAAUUAUCACUUGGCGCAACAAGACCAGCAAAGUCUUUAUCGACAGGGGUGGAUCAAGGGGUGGGGCAGGCAGAGCUCCAGUCCUCCUACCGCCGCUCGAACAAUGGAGCCCCCUUAGCCCCUCCAUAAAUUUUUAGGUAGAAGAAAAAAGAAGAGAAGGGAAGCAAGGGGAAGAAGAGGGAGCCCCUACUAAGUAGGUCGCCAUCGUGCUUCCCAACGCAUGAUCGCCGCACCGCAUCCAUUCCUCUACAAGCCUUCAGCGUCUCUCCCGCCGCUACCUCUGAACCAUGUGCAGCUAUAGACCCAACUAGUGUGUUGUCGCCCAUCUCAGUCCCAACAGAGCGGCGGCGGCUGCCAACACAAAUCUCCCUCCGCCUCUUCUUCACGGUCGAUGGCCGCCACAAGCAUAAACCUCGCCUUCGCAUCCAAGCAAAAGGGUCGUUGGGGUGCCUUCUUGCAUCACUUCUCAGCCUCCUUCACUUGCGGCCAGCGAAGAACUGCGCCACCACCUCGGGUGCGUGCCACCACUCCAGGGCCGCUACCCCAUGCCUGCGGCCGCCACCGGCCACCACGCGUGUGCAACCGCGUUGCACCGCUUCCCUGCUUUGUGCCACCACUACUGCUGUACCACCAGCUCCACCACCUUGGGAUGGUCGCCAGGGUGACUGAUUGGUGGAUUAUUACUAAAAAUAAGUUCCUUAUUAUCUGCAACUACUAUUAACUCAGAGAUACAUGCGUCUUUUCCUUCUCCUGCUAAUAGGUCCUAAAAUAUCUAGGAUGCUUUAUAUUUCUGGACAGAGGAAGUAUUUGAAUAAAAUGAACCAAUUUAAAAAAAAUGUGUUGUACACUACUACAGAAAGACCUAUCAGUGUCAAACCCAAAAAUGUCGUCACCGCCAGUUUUAGGCAUCGUUGGUGAAAGGUUGGCGGUGAUGGGCAUCCCCUUCAACAACGGCACUGGAGCCGACGGUGAUUGACAUUAGAAAACAAAAAAGGGAACCCCACCUAGCCACCCCUGCAACCCAGCCGGCCGUGCCUCCCCUCAUGCCCACCACCUCGCCUCCCCCGUGACCCCCCGCCGGCGCCCUUGUGCCUAGCCCCCUCGCCUGCCCGGCCGGCCACCCUCGUCAUGAGAGAGAGAGGUGCAUGUUGUAUAAUUGCGUGAAUUUUUGAAUGUUUAAUUUUAUGUAAGUUCCAUGUAAUAAAUUGUACAAGUUUUAUUGUAUAUAUGAAUUCCAUAUAUAUAUAUUUAUAAUUUAAUGUAUGGUUUCAUGUGUAUAUUUCAAUCAUGUGUAUAAUUAGUAGAUUGCCGAUUUUCUUUUUCUACUAGACAAGGGUUGAUGUAUAAUUACGUGUAUAUGUUUAUUGUAUGGGCAAUUAGGACAAGUUUUGUAUAAAUUUCUUUUAUUUCAUGGUUGUUGUAUGGUUUCAUGUAUAUACAUUUAUUGUACUACUUGAGACAAUUUUAAUUUAAUAUUUCUAUGAUUACAUGUGUGUAUAACUAAUUGUAUUAUUAGUUAAGAUGGGAGCCAAAGAGGAUGAAAGGUAUAUAAUAGAGUAGAUUAUUGCUGGCGGUAGUGGCUCAAACGUUGCAAGAACCUACACCGAGGGUGAGGGUAGCUAGGUGGACAUGUACCUCAACAUGUCCAGUGAUGGCAAUGACGAUGAGGAGCACGAGCAUGACGUCUAUGAUAAUGCGGAACAAGACAUUGCAGAAUUGGAAGGUUCUAAUGAGGUGUGCUUCAUGUUGACGAUCUAGUUGGCUUUUUUUCUUUGGUCACACCUUAGUUACCAUAGAACUUCGUCUCGGGAGAAGAUUGGUGGUGCUAUGGUGAUUGGAAUUUUAUUGCCUCCAAAUUUGAUUUCCAUCGAAUCAUAUCCCUUGUAUUUAUCUUCUUUUUAUUUGUGAGAGCAUCUUCUUUAUGCUUGCAAAACAAUUCAAGUGCACAUACUACCCCUAGGGUGAUGAUUGGGAGUAGAAACAAUUGCCAACAAAACAACACCACAUCCUAAGAUUCUUAACUUGUGGCAUAAUUAAUCUAGUGAAAAGAAAGAUAAAAACCUAAUGGGUGUACGUGAGUGCAAUGUGUAUAUGCAUAUGAGUGGAAGGCAUAUAAGCAAAGACAAUAUUUACACAUAGUUCUAAACACGAUGUUUACAGCUAGGUUGCUGAAUUUCUCCAUAGCUAUAGAGAUUAAUUAACCAAGGUCAAAACACGAUGUCUAUCCCAAGAUCAGUAAUUCUUUAUAGCACAAGAAAAAGAAAGCGCAUUGCAAAGUUUAUAAACCAACCAAUACAGCAUGAAAACAAGAUGAAUAGCUAGCAAGGUUUAUUAAAUUGAAUGAUGACGGUCUGCAAGCAAGUUUGAACACCAUCUUUACACAAGAUUGCAAAUGGAAAAUGCCCAUAUGAAGCACUAACAUGGAUAUGAAAUCAUUCAUCAUAAAGCGUAAAGAACAACCAAGUAGUUUUUAAUGGCAUAUACAUGUAUAAUAUAGUUUAGGUGCUAAAAUUGAUAUUCACAGCUAUUUUGGGCUCCAAUUCGCGUCCAAACCAACCUAGCCCACAGACCACACCCGGCCGGCCAGCUCAUCGGCCCAUCUAGUCACUGAUCCUUCCACCACCACACUCAGCCCAUCAGUCGGUCAGGUCCCGAGCUCCUGCCUGACCUAGUCCGCUACCGCCGCCAGGCGCCAAGCACAGCCGUACGCACUGCACCGCCCCCGUCCACCCAUGUCCGCUGCGCGGCAAAGCCGCGCCCCCCAGCCCCCGCGGUGAGAUCUCGACGCCCGCUGCCGCCAGACCCCAUUAGGCCUCCACCGGCAAGUCCACCCACAGUCCCACACGACCUAGUCCGCUNNNNNNNNNNNNNNNNNNNNNNNNNNNNNNNNNNNNNNNNNNNNNNNNNNNNNNNNNNNNNNNNNNNNNNNNNNNNNNNNNNNNNNNNNNNNNNNNNNNNNNNNNNNNNNNNNNNNNNNNNNNNNNNNNNNNNNNNNNNNNNNNNNNNNNNNNNNNNNNNNNNNNNNNNNNNNNNNNNNNNNNNNNNNNNNNNNNNNNNNNNNNNNNNNNNNNNNNNNNNNNNNNNNNNNNNNNNNNNNNNNNNNNNNNNNNNNNNNNNNNNNNNNNNNNNNNCCCCCCCUCCACCAGGACUGCUUGUUGGCCCCCACCGCGAGGUAAUCAAAAUGGACGGCUCAAUCACUCAAUCUGUUGACAUGAUGCACACGGUUGCAAAAAUAGAUGUGUCAAAAUAGAUAUAUUGCUAAUUGCUAUAGAUGCAUACGGUUGACAUGAAGAAGUUAAAAAUGACAUUUGGUUCCUUGUAGGCAGUCAAAAAUGAAGUCAAAAAAUAUUGAUCUGAAAUCAAUGUGGGAAAGGGCUACGAAGACACACAGAUUCCCUUGUGAACUUUUUAUGUCAUUCGUCUAAAUAUUUUUUUGCAAUGGGCAUACCCUACUCUGAAAUCCUGGGUCUGCCACUGAUGAUGAUGGUCUAAACAUAAAACAAGCCAAGAUUAAUUAGCCACAACUGAAAUUAAACAAAGGUUAAUGUCAUUGACCCUAGCUCUAUCCUAGCUUUUACAAAAGUCCCGGCACAUAUAGUGGUUGGGCCCACUCUCUCUGCUUCCCUCUCUGCUGCAUGCAUGCACACGAGCAACGGGAGGCCCCACAAAGCCCAGAAGGGUUCGGCUGAACCCGGCCGAUCCAAUCUGAGCACCACUCCCUCCCAGCCUUCGCGCAGAUGCUCCUCCAACAUUCCUUGACCCCUCCCUCAGCGUCCCAUUGGGUUUAACAUUGCAGGAGAGGAGUCCCUUUUUUAAAAUCUCAACCACCUCCUCUCCUCAUUCACUCCACUCUCAUCUCCAUCAAACUCACCAAGAUCCACAUCGGAAAUCCCUGCUUACCACCAUGGCUGGCAAAGCCCUCGUCCCUUUCACCAACUUGGGCUUAACCAUUGAUCUCGAUGGGGAAAUCACUCCGGAAAUAGGGCAGUGACCCAGAGCAAAGGUGAUGCCAGAGUGUAGAUAGCAGUUAGCAUGCCAAAUUGUGAACCGCAAGCGCUCGGAUUAGUUGUUUUUUUUCCCUUAGAGAUUCCCCCAAGGUUUAUCAAUCCAUGGAACAAGGGAUUUGCACAUUUCACUAAGCAUUAAUCAAUGUAAUUGAAAGCUUUUUGAAUAAGAUAUGAUUAUGCUAACAAAGGAACUAAGCAAUCUAGAUUAAGAUGGAUAGAGAGUAAAGGUUGUGAACAAGAUAGAUUAAACGCUUAUAGAUGCAAUCACCAUGCAUGAAUGAAUUAGAUCUAGGUGUUAUUGUGAGUGGUUGUGAACCAUACCCCAACACUUUCCCACCCGCAACAUUGUCACUACAUGUGGGUACUCAACUAUCGAAACAUAAGAACACAUCAAGAUGAUCAUUCUAGGUAAGCAAAUAAGCAACCCAAAGUAGCGCUGGCCAGCCUUUUCAUGAAAGAGCAUCAUCAAGAUAAGAUUGAUAACAAAAUAGAUCUCAACCAAAGGUUCAGCGAUUACAAAUCAAGAUCUCCGUAUAACCCCGAUGACAAAUAGAGGUAUUACCCCCAUGAUCUUACACAUGUUGAUGAAUUUUAGGGUAAAGGACGCCCUGUAGAUCAACUGGACCAAAGAUGAUGAUGAACAGGGGCAGGGAAGGCCCAGGCUGAUCAGCCUGGGCACUUUUGAGCCGAUCAGCUUAGGGAGUUUCCUCCUCCCCUGGUGCUCCUCUUCGCGUGGCCUCCUCUGGAUCCAAUCUUCUCUUCAUUUCUCCUACUUGUGGUGGCAAUGGAUGGUGUUUGCAUGGUGAUUUCCUCUUCUCCCCAACUCUCCCUCCUUGAAGUCCAUGAGGGGGUAUUAAUAGUCUCCAAUAUGCGGCAGCUCUGGGUCAAUGUCGGUGAAAAAACCCUAGAGAUCAUCGUACACUUCACGCUGAGGAAACAAGAGGUCGACCGAGCCCUGGGAUAGACCAAGAGGAUCAGCCUAGAGGGUCCCAGGCCAAUCGGUCUAGGCCCUUCCUAGCCCUUCUAGUCCUCUCCUUCCUCGUGCUGGCUUUUCUCGAUGACCCUUGUCCAAAUAUCCAUUAAGCUCUAUAUACAUACCCCCUUGAUUAUGUCGUAUUUCCUGUCAAAAUACAAUGCUCCAAAAUACAACACAUAUGCAAUAAUAGGGUUAUUUCAUGUGCCAAUUGGUGCGUUAGUAUACGAAUAAGCAUGAAAAUACUGGUUAAAUGACACUAAAAGUGUGUCAAUAACGAGCACCAACAAUCCCCCCACGCUUAGAUCUUGCUCGUCCUCGAGCAAGUCUAGCGACUAAAAGAUCUUGAAUUAAACAUGAGCAAGCGAGUCAAGUACCUAGCCUUGAAACAAAAGAUUAGAGGAGCAGCAAAGAUAAUCAAAGUCUGGGUGUUCAAAGAUUUAUCUAAGCAAAGAUUCCCCUACAACUAUUAUUCAGAACCAAGUAACUUCAAGAAUCAACUACACUUAUUUUCUGGCUUUUUUCAGAGGGUUUUUCUUUCAUCACAAAACAAUCUCCCUGCAACAAAAUUGAAAAAAGAAUUAUUUUCCAGGUGCUUACAUGUCGUUUAAAUGAAUGUUCGCUAUCCUACUUAUUUGCAAGCUCUCAUCUCUCAAAAUUCAUUCAAUUAUAUGGUGGAGCUUGGGUAAGGUUAGCUAGAAUCAACACGUAUAUUAUUGAAUUAAGAAAACCCUCUAACGGUAGCCUACCUUUCGAGCCAUUGAUCAUAAGAAUAUCCACAUAAUGUGAAGUUUUCAAGGAUGAGAAUAGAAUGGUGGACAUGUGCAAAGGAAAAGAAAUAUAGUGACUCUGAGGCACAAGCAAUGUCCUCGUCGUUGGAUUGCAUAUGGUUGGAAUGAAAAUCUGUUCCUUAAACAAGUCCAUCUUUUCUUUGCACCACUCUUGAUCUUCAUGACAGUAAAAACUCCUCCUUUAUUUCUUUCUCUCUUUUCCUAUUAUUUCUUUUUAUUUGUCUCAAUACUUUUCUUUCUUUAUUUCUUUAUUUUAAUCUCUUCUCCGAACCUCUUCUGAACACCACACAAUAAAAAUCAGUUUUAGAUCCUUCUAGAGACCUUCCAGGAAUUUGCUACAUGAAAACCGAGGCAAGGAGACCCCAGGCCGAUUGGCCUGGCCACUCCUUUGCUCUCCUCUAGCUCUUCUUUCUUGUGAAGCUUCCUUAUCUUGUAUCUUUCCAAAAAUUUCAUAAAGCUCAACUAGAAACGGAACACAUCUUCAUAUAAUGAGUUGUGUUCAAGGAAUUGGUAAUAAAAUUGAGAAAUUUGUGGUUCGGGUUUACGAAUUCAGUACAAAAAUAUGAUUAUUCCAAUGAAGAACUCUCAUUACUGAAUAUUGACGAGGCAAGCAUUCAAAGAUGGUAAAAAGGAUAUGAUCAAUUCUCAGAAUUAAAGCAAACCAAGAGAGAGCGAUCCUAAUUCAAUUCAAAGUGUCAAAUGUUGCUUAUGGUGGUAUGAAUAAAUAUUUUUAGGCAUUGGGUAGGAUAAAUAAAAACUCUCAACCUGGUUAAAAGAUAUUGAUCAAUCUUGUUUUUGCAGAGGUUUUAAAUAAAAAAUAAAAUUUUAAAUCACCUCCAAUUCAAAGCCUUACUCAUAAAUCAUAAUCAAAACUGAAGCACUUGAUCAUCAUAAAGCAUGGGUAUUGCAUAAACAAAUCGAUUACUAAAACUCCACAACUACGAUUUAGAAUUCAAGACAAUGCUCAUAAUCUAAAGUUGCAAAGACAAAAUAAAAGACAAGCAAGCCAAGGUAGACACUAAAAACACUUGCACGAUCCUUGAAUUUUAUUCAUGCUUCUUCUCACAAAGACGCUAAAGUAGCCAUGUAGGCCUAAGUCUUCCCAAAAGCUUAAGAAGACUACUACUUUAUCUACUUUUGGUUGAAAUAAAAAUACUAAUCUAGACUCUCACAUGAUUCGACUCGACCAAACUAGAUCCAAAAACUCAUACGAGCGACAAUCUCCCCCCCCCCUCUCAAAUCUACGACCUCCUCGUGGUAACCAUAUGGAGUACAAGGAAAAGACGCUUGUAAACGCACUAAUGACGCUACCCGGACUACUUGCACACGGAAUGGUUGUUGUUUCCUUUGCUUUGUUCUUCGUCAUGUUGCUGCACAUCCCGAAGAGCUUCCUCACGUUCCUCUGCAAGAACUUGAACUUGAACUUGUCCUCCUGACGGCAAUCAUUAUCUUCUGCCUUUUGAUCCAGAGCUUGUAAGGCUUGCAUGAUGUCAUCGAACGCAUCGAAGAGGUAGUGGAUGUUCUUCCUGCAAGCUGUGGAACAUGUACGAUCAUGCUCCUACGAUUCUGGCCCGUCGUCUUCUAGAUCCUCCUCUUUGCCCUUGUCUUGACGGUGGCCAUCUUGCUCCUUGCUCGUCUUCUUGCCUUCAGCCCGAUCCCAGUACGUGUUGUCAUCUUCUUCAUCGUCACGGCCUGCAGCACCCUAUGAUCCAUUGUCUAUCUUGUAUGAAAGAAUCAGAAGCUUGUUCUCCUCAGGGUGUCUUGCGCGGUGCAGCGUUUGCAAGUGCAAGGCUUGCUAGUUCUUUUUACACAUUGUAAUGUUCAUUGCAUGCUCUAAUUGUUCUACAUUUGUAAUUUCUUGGUGAAGUUUGGUUACUGAUCCACUGUUUGAUUAACUCUUGGGCCCAAACACUGUACUACUUCUGAUUAGAUAUCUGUAUCUUAACUUUGACCAAAAAAAAUAUCCGGCAGUUUUUGCCAUUAAAGUUUCAUAAAUCAUCUUGCAAAAAUCGUACUAUACAACAAGGGACGGUUUAUUAUAAAAUAUACGUUCCCCUUAUCACAUGCCACUUCCACUCAAAAGGCAACGAAUCAGUUUUCAAUCCUGAGUGAGCAAUUUGCUUUUAUUACCGAUGCCUCCUAUUCCCUUGUGCACCAAGUUCAUUUUGGAUAGGACUGCAAAAAGCGACUAACCAGCUCGGAUUCUCCACCUGCAAAACCGCAUCUGCAGCAACCAACCCCACGCGGUGGAAAAAAAAACAAAACCCAGAAACCGGACGGGGGUGGAUGUGGGGCUCGGAGCCCAAGCAAAAAAAAGGAUCGGGAGCGCCGGAGCAGGCCAUCACCGGAUGUUAGAGAUAGAAAAUGGUUGAAGUUGGAGUGGAAAUCAAACAAGCCUUGGAGCAAAGGAAAAAAAAGAUCAAACCACUCAAGCAUUCAUUUGAUUUAGAAAAGAGAACAUUUGUUAAGGUGGGGAGUUGAAAUCAUCUUUUAAUUAGUUCCACGUAUCUGGUAUCAUUACAGUUGGUUUACUUGUGUAAGUAUAUAAGUAGCUCUGCCGAAGCCUUUGCUCCUAUAAUUUAGUAACUAGUACAAAUGGAUCAUUAGGAAAAUCAAGUUGCAAUCAUUUCUCAGCCAACCAAACCUAUCUAAAUCAAAUUAUUGUCCAUGCCCGGCAUGCACAGGUGCCUGCCAUGCAUGCAUUGUUGCUCCAUUGUAAUAACCAUUAUUGUCCAUUGAUGUUCCAGCGCAUGUGUGCACUGUGCAGACACCAAGCAUCGAGAUUAUGUACUAGUAAGGUACCAAGAACACGUGAAGCACACGGGGGAGGCUGCUCCACUCGGCAUGCACAGGUGGGGCACGGCACCACUACUCGUCUCCUUCAGGCAGAGGACAAGUGAUGUACGCUGAUCAACCACUAGUAGAAAAACGACUUUCCAUCCGCCCCUUUUGUCCCGGUUUAAAGUUGGCCCGGGACAAAAGGUUCACCAACCGGGACUAAAACUCGGUCACUGGUGGGGGGCUCACCAACCGGGACCUUUUAUCCCGGUUGCAAAGGCUAGUGGGAAAAAAAGACUCUGAGAGGCCUUUUAUCCCGGUUUGAAACACCAACCGGAAUAAAAGGUGGUCUUUUAUCCCGGUUGGUGUUUCCAACCGGGAUAAAAGGGUCCCCCACGAGUUAAUACAAAAGGAUAGUAUCCCCUAUAUAGUCAGAUGUGGUGUGUAGGUGGGAUGGCAAGGAAGCUACGCGCGAGGCUGGAGGUUGUGGGUUUGAAUCCCACGAACCGCGCACCCCCACCACGGCAAACGGAGGUGAUGGCGGAAGGUGAGGCAACGACAGUAGCUGGUGAGCUCCCGCUCCAAUGUCUCGCGAGUGAAGGAGGAGGAGGUGGCAUGGGAAUCGAAGAGGAGGCCGCCGCUGGCGGGUUUAGACUACGUGGAUGUGUGGGUAGGGUUAAGGUGACGGUGUGGACUAGUAUAUAUAAGAUGUCUGGGCUUGUUAGAAUAAGAUAACAUUCUAACCGGCCAAAUUCGGACCCGGUUAGAUUAAAUUGAUAUUCUAACCGGUCCUAUUUCUAGGUGGUAAGAAUAAGUUAACAUUGUAAUUGGCUUUAUUUGGAACCCGAUUGAAUCUUCUUGUUAUUCAAAAAAACAUCAAGUUCAUCAAUUUUAAUCCAGAAAAACAUCAAGAUAAUUUAAGCACGAUAUAUAACAAGAUUAAUAAAUUUAAUAAUUGUUUGAUCCACAAAUUAACGAUAUUUAACAAAUUCAAAAAAUCCAAAUUAACAGAACACAAUAACCAAUUGUUCGAAAAAAUCAAAAUAAUCCACACACAUUAAUAUAUUACAAAUUCAGAAAUAUAUCAAAAUAAUCCCCGAUCCACUCGAUACCGUCAUAGGACUUUUAAAUACUGAGCUUCUUGAUUCGUCUGAGGUCCACGUACUCGUCUCAGUAACACUAGUGAUGGCCAUGCAUCUUGUAGAUGUCUUCUAACGAAUCAAGCUUGACGUACAAGGUCAUGCCUUCCGCUCCUUGAGGAUAACCAUCUUUGGUGAUCUUGAAAUGGCAGACGGUGGAUGUGCCAAAGGUACGUAACGAUCCUUCUAAAUGUAUGCCACCACAACUUCCGUCUGAUCGCCAUGGGUGACACCAAGAAGAGCUACCAUGCGGCAAGGGACGAACAAUUUAUCAAUUAGUGCCGCUGUCCAUUCGCCAUCAUCUAAUCCAGCCAUAUCUUGAUGUAUAUUUAAGUAUAGAAAUUAAGAUUUAAAAAUAAACAGAAUAAAUUGAGAUCGACUAUGUAUGUAUAUCAGAACAUUAGCUUUUGGAAAAAGGGCUUCGAUGGAAGAGAGGCACGGGGCAUAGAGACAACAACGAGUGACAAUAUGUCAGAAGAAUACCCGAUCACAAUUAUUGGCUACAGGACGGGCACACACAGCCGAUAUUUACAGUAGUCAAUACCCCUGGUAAAUAACCACACCAUCAAGAGUAAAUAGUGACAAUAUGCAGUAUAUACACGACAUAGCCUUGGUUGCCGUGGAAGCGCCAGAAGGGAGACAAAUAACAGGGACCACAACAUCAAGUAGAUAGUGACAAUAUGCAGAAGAAUACCCGCGCCUGUUAGCAUGUGUGAACUGACCACACCACGAAACGUGAUACACGGCAAGCGUACCAAGGCCUUGCUGUGCAGACUAUGCAUGGACAACACAUGGUACCUGACCGCUUUUGGCCUCAGACACAUCGAAAAACUGCAUCGUUCCACGUUGUACAUCCAUUGCUAGUUUAUCUAUAUUACAUAAUAUAUUAUUAGCUAUUUGAAUAGAAUGAACCAAUUAAAAAAUUGCGUUGUAUUUUAGUACCGGCUGCAGGAUGGUGUUACCAACCAGUACUAAUUGGCCUGUAGGAGUGAUGGUUAUUAGACUUGGUACUGUUGUUAGCAUCAUUAACCUAAUUGUGCGCGGUAUGAAUUUGGGGAUGCAAAGCUAGCUCUCUAUGAAUGUGAGGGAUGGAAAGCUAGUUCUCUAGUAGUAAUUAGCUAUAUAUAUAUGUCAGUCAAGAAAUCGAACACUAUGCUGCUACGAGUCACCAUCAUUUCCUUCAUUGACAAUCUGACAUAGGUGAAGCUGCUUCAAGAAUUUCCUUCGCGCAGUCGUGGAGCUUAUUGGAUUAUCACCAGGACGGGACACGGAAAUGGCCAGCAAUGAAGCUGAUUGCCGUCUGAGGAAGAUUACAUACUUACCUAUGAAAUGAAGCGAUUGCAUAGACUAAUGAAGCAUUGCAUAUUUGCAUGUGAGUGUGGCAGAUAAUUCUGCAGGACAUGAUUGCAAUCCACGCACCAUCGAGAAGACUGGGGCGAUGGGGUUGCCUCAUCAAUAAUCACGUGGAUGCAUGCAUGCAUGUUCCCGCAACCGGACAAGGGUCUGAUAUAUGGCUAUAGUAUUACUGAGCCCACAUCAAUAAUUUCCGCUGGUGUAUCGUGUGGGAAGAAUCAACAUACUACACCUCGAGUUCUUGGAACUAACUGACGUUCACAUGCAACCUCCACAAGGUGCUGUAUAUAUGCUUUUGACAUUCACCUGCCAGUUCGUGUAGAGGACACCCUAACGUAUGGUUAAUAUUAUCCAUUUCAUGAGUAAAAUACUGUGAUUCAAAAAUACUUCAAAUCCCUUGAGACAAUACUUCUCACUUGACUAACCACUAACCAACCCCGAAACCCUAACUCAACUCCGAACCCUAACACCUAACGGCAUAACCACUCCGUUUUGCCAGCCAGAUGGAGGAACUGGCUGGGAGGGAGAGAGGGCAGCGGUCCAGGGUUGAAAACGACGGGCGAGCGCAGUAACAUGUGGAGGAGGAAGUGCCACGUAUUCGUUCACCGCUAUUGGGCAGCGACACACAACACGCCCAAUAAGAUUUUCGCACGGUAGAAGGGCGCCAUGUAUUCAAUAAUGUUAUUGGUCCUCCAUGUGCAGAAGGGCGCGUAUGGAAUAACAAGUAGGGACACUGCAACUAAUCUACUCUGCUCGUCCAGUCCCUAGCCUAUAAAUAGAUGCCAUGCUAGCUCUUGUUGUGCUCACAGUUAAUCCGAUUACACACGAGCUUCUCUCCCUGGCCAAGACACAAUCAUAGUAUGAUGAAGAACAUGGCACUAGCCGGCAAUGGUAUGAAGAAGUUAAUCCUCGCUGUUCUCUUACUGUGUCUAGUUAUAGGGCAGAUACAAGUGGAAGCUAAGAGCUGCUGCCCAUCCACCACUGCAAGAAAUGUCUACAAUACCUGCCGUUUGACGGGUGCAUCCCGUCCAACGUGUGCAAAACUGUCAGGCUGCCAAAUUAUCAGCGGGAACAAAUGCAAGCCCCCUAACGACCACCUCACCCUUGACCCGGACACUGGUAAAUAAUAAAUUUAUCUCACUUGAUUUCUUUGUGUUUUGAGUCGUUAAUGUAUUUUCCAUCUGAUGAAACGCAUUGGUUUUGCAUUGAAGAGGAAGUUAAUGUGCUUAACUUCUGCAAGUUGGGGUGUGCGUCGUCUGUGUGCAACAACAUCAACGCUGGUAAGCACCUUUUGCUCAGACAGAGAAAACAAUAAUCAUUAAUUAGCGGCAGCUAGAAUCCUAUAAUCUAAUAUAUAUAUAUAAUUUUAUCAGCUCUGGGAAAUGAAGAGGCGAACGAUGCCGUUGAGAGUUGCGACCAAGCCUGCUCUAGCUUCUGCAGCGUGCAUGUUGGCAGCGCCACCGUGGUUGCUUAAGCAAAUGCAUCCAACUAGAUCGUCCUUGUGCUGAAUAAUUGGAUAUCGUAUCCACUUAAAGCUGCCUUGUGUAGUACGUCUUUGUGUCUCUCUUUAUAUUCCAAUAAGGUCGGUGAUCUUGAUGCCACACACUCAGAUGUGUGUUCAUCUCCAGAUACUACUCCAUGCUACCUGCCCUUUGUGUUUUGUUCAAUAACUGGGUAUCAUAUCCCAACCAGUAUGCCGUCUGUUUUGUGUUUGUUUCCUUCUAGUUCCAAAAGGGUCAUCAUGAUGUUACCUUCUUUCAAUAUGGUGCUUUGCAUGACUACUGUUGUAUGGUACCAUCUUGUGGCCAAUAAGUACAUCUUAUCCUAUGACCCUUUGCUAUGACCCUUUGCAAAUAAGUAGAAGAUUGUUAUAAGCGUCAAUACUCAGUAUAAUUGAUCGCUGCUGUGAGUUCCCUUUCAGCUUAUCGUAGGCAUACAUUAUUGCUAGCACGGUAAAGCCAACCAACACGAAUGAUGAAGUAAACGUAGCGGUACUUCUGUAUACCAACACCCUUACUUAAAUGUACCGGUGUCAUUCCCUACUGGCACAUAUAUUCUUAUAUGCUAGCCAGCUUGUAAAAUUAACCAAUUAAAAUAAUUAUUUCAAGAUAGAAAUAACUUAUCGGCUUCUGGAAGCAUGUGUAAUGUGAAUUCAAGGACUCGACGGAAGUUGAAUCACUUCAUCUAUAUUGCUUUCAGGAUUUUGGGUAACUAAAUUUAACAUUUGCACAUACAAAUGUUAAAGUACAAAUGUUAAAUCUAGUUACCCAAGCAGAAUAUGAAGAUAGUUUAUAGUAUAUAUAUACUAUAAAUAUACUAUAUAAAUCUAGUUAACAUUUAGUCUAAAUGUUAAAUCUAGUUACCUAAAAUCCUGAAAGCAAAAUGUAUAAAUAUAUAUCUUUUAAGGCAGUAUAAGCUUCGAUUCCUAUUGCUGCUCUGUUAAAUCUCAUCUUUCGUUGUGGCCCAACACUCUAGUAUGCAUGUUGCACCAAGCUUCUUUGAGCCGCUCUGCCCUCUGAUUUUGCUGUGUAGGGGAAUCUUUAUCAGGUUGGGCUACUUCCAGUUGUGCGAUGUAAAGAUUCGUAUUUUCUAGAAGGUAGACAAAAAACUCGCGUUCUCUUAAGGCAACAACCGGAAGAUUCUGCAGCGCAUAGGGCAUACCAUUAUUGUAGAAACGACCUUUAGUACCGAUCUCCAACCCCCUUUAAAACUGGUUUUGCAACCGGUACCGUUAUGUCGGUCCUUUAGUACCAGAUCAAAUAACCGGUACUAAAAGAGUCAACUAAAAGGACUCUUUUAGUACCGGUUGGUAACCAGUAUCAACUUGUUUUGUGGCCAAAAAAAUAAAGAAAAAAACAGUCAGAAGGCUCGCACACACGCGCAUCACAUGAAAUAUGCGUGUGCGGGGUCCAUGGGAUUCGAACCCAUGAAAUCAAGCUACGCGCGACCCUUCGUUACCAUCUCACCUGAAGUAACCCGUGGAGGAGGCUUUAGUACCGGGUCAUAACACCACCCGGUACUAAAAGUGACUCUUCAGUACCGGGUCAUAACACCACCCGGUACUAGUAUCGGAUGGUGUAAUGACCCGAUACUAAAAGGCCUCUAGGGACCCUCAAAUUUGAACCCGGUACUAAUGCUAAUAUUAGUACCGGGUCAAAGUGCAGCCAGAACUAAAGCAUGGGAUGAAAGGUCAUAUUUCUAGUAGUGUAUAGUUGUUGUGAAGGACUUACUUGGCUGUCCUCUCUCUUCUCCAUCCCCUUGGUCUUACGCCGCCGCUCGCACGCGAGCUGGUGCCCAACCAGAGGAGUGAGAGCUAGGGGCAGGUUGGGAGGUGGGGAUAGCGACUGGUGGCCAGGGUGAUGGUUGAUCCUGGCGGGGUUAGGGUUUUAGGGUUUUCGAGCUUCCUAUGGUCGGCGAACCUAGAGGAGGAGCUCAACAUCAGCUGCAACCCGCGAUGGUGGUGGUUUGGCCAGCGCCCGAGGCGAGGCAGCGCGGGAGUGCUGCCGGUGGGUUGGUGUUGGCACUCAUUAUUGACAACUAUUUUGUUCAUAAAAUAACACUCAAACUUGCUGCUGCUGCCGCCGCCAUCGCCACCCUAGCCAUAAUAUAAAGGCAAAAUUUGCUAAAGGACAUGCAAAAUGAUGCUAGUUUGCUGGCGGGCAUCGUUGACCUUGUAAUAUGCUACAAGACACUCUAGUUGUGUAUCAAUUUGCUGAAAGACAUUGCUAUGACUAAAAUAAUGUUUCUGGACUGAGUUGGAGAGAGAGAUGGAGUGAAAUGUCUGUUUUGCCCAUGACCCCACUGGUCAGAUCCUUCUUCUUCCACCCUCCUUUGUUCUUUCUUCAACCAUUACCCAGCUCCAGCGUGUUGCAGAUCUACGAGGGUGGCGGCCUGGGGCGAGGGGCAUUGCUCGCCCUCGGAGGAGCGCUGCGAGCGACGGCGCGGGGGCGGCAACCGCGCGUCAGAACCUGACUGUUCGUUAGCUCCUCUCGCUGCUGGGGAAGAAGGAGGGGGAUGGGCCAUGGACGGGGUUCCCUUGAAAACCUCAGCGUCGAGCUCGGGCGGCUACGCGCAGGCAGCACUAGGCUGCUUCACGGGGAGGGGGCGCGGCCAAUCAUUGGCACCCCACUGGUCCAAUGCUGAUGAAGAUGGUGCCAGCGUCGUGUGAGGACAUCUCAUCUCCUCGAGUUCCAUGGCCAGCACAGGUGAGCUGCCGCUACCACAAAACAGAGAUUUCGUGAGAGUCAAAAAACCUUAUGAAAAUAGCUAAAACCAUCAUGAAAAUAAUCCGUGACAUGACACUCUCACGAAAAUCCUCUCACAAAUAUGGUGCCAUGAAAAUACCAUUUUCAUGAGAGUGAACUGUCAUGAUUUUAUUUCGUGAGAGUAUUUCCUAUCAAUGACCUCCACGAAAUACUUUGUGCCACCAGGUCUUCAAGAUCAUUUUCAUGAGAGCUGAACAUCAGGAAAAGUCCGCCACAAAUGUUUUUCUUGGAGCCUCUAACUCUCAUGAAAAUCAUGCGGGCCGCCACGAAAAACAGCAUGACCAAAUGACAAAUUUUAUUUUCAUGUGUUCAUACCGUGAAAAUGGUCAUUUUCAUGAGAGUUGAUGAAACAAAAAAUAGUGCCAUUUUCAUGAGAGUUCAAGCAACCAGGAAAAGACACUAAUAAACAUCCAGAUCCCAUCCAGCACACAUCCAUGCACACAUAUAACCCACAUAUUGCUCCAGCACACAUCCAUGCAUAUACAAGAUCCAAAUGUUAAUAUAGUAGACAUCCAUGCCUGAACUAGUCUGCCACACAAGUCAUUGAUGCUACAAAUCCUACAAUCGCAGCAUGUGCAUACAAGUCACAGAAUGAGACAAUGUACCCAAAACUAAAAGGUUAGCAUCAACUGUGCUUCAACCAAAGUUGUCAUCCCAACUCUCCUCUUCAUCCAUGCCAUUCUUGUCAUGGCCGUCACUGUCAGUCCCCAUGGCAUUGCCAAUGCUGUGCAUGUCUUGGUAGGAACCUACAUGUGAUGAACCAGUAACCUGCAAAAAGAACUCAAAGGAUCUUGUUCUCAUAUUGUUCUCAUAUUGUAGCUGUGAAAUUCUUACAAGUAGUGUUGCAAUCAGUUCACUUUGAACCAAAAGAGCUCAAAGGAUCUUGUCCUAAAAGUUCCUCAUAAAGCUUAUGGGUUUGCUGGUGGAACUGGAAGGGCUUGAUGCAGCAGAUGCCAUUCUGCAAUAGAGAAAAAUUUAGAGAGCAGUAAUAGUUAAAAUUGGAUGCAGCAGAUACACAUGAAACUAGUAUUUAUACAAGUCUAUACAAUUAAAAUCUAAGGAGACUUAUCAUCGUUUUCAUGUGUUGCGAAUUAAAAUAAUGAAGGAUACACUGUUAGGUGAAAAUUCAAGAAACAAAAUUUUGCAUAGAGAUAAAGGUCCAACAUUAUUACAAGUUAAGGUAGUUUUAAAUAUCCUUGUAAUCUUCCUUUGGUUUCCUCAACGAUUCGAAGACAAUAACCUUGCUUCUAUCAAUGAUAAUUAUAAGGAGAAUCCAGUGGAAACUGUGUAUUCAUAUUAGAACUACCUAAGGUUAAUUAGGUUAGGAAAGGAAAUCGAAAAUAGAUGGUACCCACACUUACUUAAAGUUGUCGGGCAAUAGUAUGUAAUGCUUGUAAUUCCGUUGCUCCAAGAAUUUGUAUAUGUGGUCCAAUGUAGACUUUGGUUGAUCCCGUAUCUGCUGUUGGUUAAAUAAGUGUUUCUAGCCAUUUCUAGCCAUUAGAACUGGGACUAAAGGGGGCUCUUUAGUACGGGUUGAUAUUACUAACCGGGAUUAAAGAGCCCCCAUUAGAGUUGGUUUUUGGAUGCGGAACUAACAACUCCUUUAGUCCUGAGUACGAAAACGACUGAGAUAUUUGUUGCUUGGUUGAAGGUCCUUUCUCUACCGUGAAUAUUGCCAGAAAGAAUUGAAAGAGACUGCUUGCUAAAAAUAUGUCAUAGAUGUAGACCAAGCUACCAAGGAGGUAGCACUAGUAGAGAAUUGACUUUCGAGCCGCCCCCUUUUAUCCCGGUUUAAAGUUGGCCCAGGACAAAAGGGGGUGCGCCGGGGUGCGGAAAUUUGGAGGGGAGCAUUACUCCCGGUUGGUAAUUGCAACCGGGACUAAAGGCCCCCCUUUAGUCCCGGUUGCAACGGCUAGCUGGGGGGCAUCGGUGGCCGGACCCUUUUAUCCCGGUUGGAUCCUCCAACCGGGAUAAAAGGGACUCCCUUUUAUCCCGUUGGAGGAACCAACUGCGAUAAAAAGUUUAGUCCCGGUUGGUGCCUCCAACCGGGAUAAAAGGGUGUCCCUUUUAUCCCGGUUGGAGGAUCCAACCGGGACUAAACUUCCAACCGGGACAAAAGGUGUUUCCUUUUGUCUCGGUUGGAGUUUUUAACCGGGAUAAAAACUCAUCCCCCACUAUGUCCCGAGACAUAGACUUUCUUCUUCCUCCAGCCCGAGCCAGUCCAGCACAUUGAUAGAGAGCUGAGCUUCACCUACUCUCCGGUGGUGCCAAAGCAAGGGAGGUGCUGCCCGAAGUUUUUUCCCUCAUUUUCGUGGGAAUUUGACUCAGCCAACACAAGUGUUGCGAAGGUUUGCUACUUCAUCCUCGUGUUAUGCUUUGAUUUAUGCUUUGGAGAUGGAAAGAUUAUUUGCUACAAUGUGAUGAUGAAGUAGAAAAAUGGAGAGGUAUUUUGAGCUAGAAUGUGAGGGAGAUUGAUGUGUCAUAUAUAGUAUGCAUUAUUUCAGUGGUUUAAAAAUGAUGCUACCUUGUCUAGACGGUUUAUCUUAUCAAAUUCAAUAUGGUUUUUUAAAUCCAUAUACUUGUUGAACUUGCAUACCGUGUUCAUUUCGGCGAGAAUGUUCUCCGCCGAGCAGCAACGUAUGUCAAGAAGGAGGUUCGAUUCUACGAGAAAGAGUGGAUACGGACAUCGUGACCAUGUCCCCUUUUCCGUAGCAUCUAACCUCUUUCAUGACGAAGUGCGGUGCCACCCAGCUGAGGACAUCCUCGCGAAAUGAACACGGUCUUCAAGUUCAACAACUUCUGUAGUGGUAAGGAAAGAAUUUUUGUACAUAGAUGACUUCUGCUACUUGUUGAACUUGCAUACCGUGUUCAUCUCUCCGAGGAUGUUUUCCGCCGAGCAGCAACGUAUGUCAAGAAGGAGGUUUGAUUCUACGAGAAAGAGUGGAUACGGACAUCGUGACCGUGUCCCUUUUUCCGUAGCAUCUAACCUCUUUCAUGACGAAUACCGGUCCCGCCUAGUUGAGGACAUCCUCGCGAGAUGAUCACGGUCUUGAAGUUGAACAACUUAUGCAGUGUUAAGAUGAUCACGAUCUUUAAUCGAUUUUCACGCGUAAUCCAUUAUCAAGUGUAAUCCAUUUUCAUGCGUAAUACGAUGCAGAUGGACUAGCAAUGGAUGUAUAAUGCAGACAGGCGGAGCAAGGCGUUUAUUGAUGGCUUGCAUUAUUUUCUCGAAGUGGCAAAAGCGAACAAGCCAGAGAAUGGGUUCGUAUGUUGUCCAUGCUUCCAAUGCAAUAACAGGAAGGAGUAUUCAAACGAUUCCUGGGGGACUAUUCACAGCCACUUGUUUAAAUACGGUUUCAUGCCUAACUAUUUGGUUUGGACCAAGCACGGUAAACUAGGGGUUGUAAUGGAAGAUGGCGAGGAGGAGGAGGAAGAUGACACCAUUCCGGACUGGGUUGCAGGCCAAGCUUUUGCAGGUACUACAAUGGGCGAGGCUGAUGAAGAUGAGUUUGCAGAAAAUGACCCUACUGAUGACCUUGGUCAGGUGAUACAAGAUGCAUACAGAGAUUGCGAAACUGAGAAGGAAGCAGCAAAGUUGCAGCGCAUGAUAGAUGAUCACCAAAAAUUGUUGUACCGAGGUUGCCAGCAGGACCAUAAAAAACUAGGUACGACACUAGAAUUUGUGCAAUGGAAGGCAAAAAAUGGUGUGUCCGAUAAGGCAUUUCAGGGGAUGUUGAACAUUGUCAAGAAGAUUCUCCCCGAGAAUAAUGAAUUACCGUCCACAACAUAUGAAGCUAAACAGAUUAUUUGUCCUCUUGGAUUGGAUGUUCAGAAGAUACACGCAUGCCCUAAUGACUGUAUCCUCUAUCGUGGUGAUGAAUACGAGAAAUUGGAUGCUUGUCCCGUCUGCGAAGCCCUGCGGUAUAAGAUCAGGCGAGAUGAUCCUGGUGAUGUCGAGGGGCAGUCUCCCAAGAAGAGAGUUCCCGCGAAGGUGAUGUGGUAUUUCCCUAUAAUACCACGCUUGAAGCGCUUGUUCAGGAACAAGGCGAAUGCUAAGUUGAUGCGAUGGCACAAAGAAGACCGUAAGGAAGAUGAGAUGCUGAGACACCCCGCAGAUGGGGCACAGUGGAGAUCAAUUGAUAGAAAAUUCCCAGACUUUGAAAGUGAAGCAAGGAACAUAAGGUUUGGUUUAAGCACUGAUGGAUUCAAUUCAUUGGGUGAGUUGAGUAGUGGUCAUAGUACUUGGCCUGUGACCCUUUGUAUGUUCAACCUUCCUCCUUGGCUGUGCAUGAAGCGGAAGUUCAUUAUGAUGCCGGCGCUAAUCCAAGGCCCAAAACAACCCGGCAACGACAUUGACGUGUACCUAAGGCCGUUGGUUGAUAACCUUUUACAGCUCUGGAAGGAAGAAGGUGUACGUGUGUGGGAUGAGGAUAGACAAGAGAUCUUUAAUCUACGAGCACUGUUGUUCGUAACCAUCAACGAUUGGCCUGCAUUGAGUAACCUUUCAGGACAGACAAAUAAGGGAUAUCGGGCAUGCACCCACUGUUUAGACGACACAGACAGCAUGUACUUGAAGCACUGUAAGAAGGUCGUCUAUAUGGGUCAUCGUCGAUUUCUCCCUGCUCACCACCAGCUGAGAAAGAGCGGGAUGCAUUUCAAAGGGGCGCCAGACCAUCGUAAAAAACCUGCACACCGUAAUGGAAAGCGUGUGUUUGAGAUGAUGAAGGAUGUAUAUGUAGUCUUCGGAAAGGGACUUGGUAGCCAACCUGUUCCGAACGACGAUAACGGACAUGCACCCAUGUGGAAGAAAAAGUCAAUAUUUUGGGAGCUACCUUAUUGGGAAAUCCUAGAGGUUCGCAACGCAAUAGACGUGAUGCACCUGACGAAGAAUCUUUGCGUGAACGUGCUAGGCUUCAUGGGUGUUUAUGGAACCUCAAAAGAUACAUUGGAAGCACGACAGGACCUGAAAGCCAUGGGGCAACGAGAUGACCUACAUCCGGAAAAGAGAGAUAAUGGACAGCACUACUUACGUCCUGCCAGUUACACUCUCAGCAAGGAAGAGAAGGAUAGCAUGUUUGAAUGCUUGAAUAGUAUGAAGGUCCCGUCUGGGUACUCCUCGAAUAUAAAGGGAAUAAUAAAUAUGAAACAAAAGAAGUUUACAAAUCUCAAGGCUCAUGACUGCCACAUGUUGAUGACCCAGUUGCUUCCGGUUGCACUGAGGGGUGUUCUACCAGAAAAUGUCCGGUUGCCGCUCGUAAAGCUAUGCGCGUUUCUCAAUGCGAUUUCGCAGAAGGCAAUCGAUCCAUCCAAGCUAUCAAAGCUACAGAACGAUGUGGUGCAAUGUCUUGUCAGUUUUGAGUUGUUAUUUCCACCAUCCUUCUUCAAUAUUAUGACGCACUUACUGGUUCACCUAGUAAAAGAGAUUGGUAUUCUCGGACCUGUAUACCUGCACAAUAUGUGGCCUUUCGAGAGGUGCAUGGCAGUCCUAAAAAACUAUGUUCUUAAUCGUGCCCGUCCAGAAGGAAGCAUCGCCAGGGGAUAUGGAACAGAGGAGGUGAUCGAGUUUUGUGUUGAUUUUAUUGAUUCAAUUGACUCGAUUGGGGUUCCAACUUCACGCCACGAGGGGAGGCUCCGAGGAAUGGGCACCAUUGGAAGGAAAUCAAGUUUGAGCAAUGAUACUGAUUUGUUCGACAAGGCACACUACACUGUUCUACAACAGUCAUCCUUUGUGUCUCCGUAUAUCGAGCAGCACAGGCAGAUGGUAGCUUCCAAAAACCCGACCAAAUCCGAUGCUUGGCUUACCCGUCAUCACAUGGAAACUUUUCCCUCCUGGUUGCGCCAACAACUUAUGGGUAACUCUGAGAUUCACCCACAGCUUGCCUGGUUAGCCAGGGGACCUACUACCACAAUCGUCGAAUUCCAAGGCUAUGAGAUAAAUGGUUACACAUUUUACACGAGAGCCAAGGACCAGAAAAGCACGAACCAGAAUAGUGGUGUCCGCAUAGAUGCCAUGGACAGAAAUAAUAGCAAGGAGUCGUAUUAUGGUUUCAUACAGGAGAUAUGGGAACUCGAAUACGGACCGCUGUACAUCCCUCUAUUUCUUUGCAAUUGGGUGAAGCUAACUGCCGUCACCAAAGAUCAGUACGGAAUGACAAUAGUAGAUCUGAGCAAGACUGGAUACAGUGAUGACCCAUUCGUACUUGCCAAUGAUGUGCAUCAGGUGUUCUAUGUGAAGGACAUGUGCAGCAAACCCAAGAGGAAUCCAGAAGAGACAUGGGAGCCAAAGUGCCACAUAGUUCUUCCAGGUAAAAGAAAAAUCGUGGGAGUCGAGGAUAAAACAGACCAAUCAGAUGAUUAUGAUCAGUUUGAUGGCAUGCCUCCAUUCGCCGUUGAAGUUGAUCCAAGCAUCCUGCUAUCCAAAGAAGAGGCUCCGUACUUACGCCGCGAUCAUGAUCAAGGAACUUUCGUGAAGAAGAAAUUUUACAACGUUGUAUUGUAAUGCGUUAAAUGUACAUGACCUUUGUGUAUUAAUUGAUACAAUUUGUAAUGUACCCUAUGUAUGAUUUCAUGUGUUAUUAAAUUUGUUAGGUGAAGAUUUUUUAGAUAAACAUGAACAUUGUUAACCACAUACUAACAUGGAUUUUUCUGCUGUUGACGUCGGAUUUCGUCAUCAGUAGAAUCGGCGCCAAAGAGGAAAGAAAUCGAAGGAGGACGGAUGGAAAUCGGCCAAAAGGUGUUACAGUGCGGAAUCGGUCAAGUGGCUUUUACUUCGCUUCAGAGUGAAUACGCCGGGUUCCCAAUCGGCAAUCCUUUGCUGAUAAGAAAUCGGCCGAUCAGGAAGGUGGACUAAGGUGGGCCUGUAUGGGCUUGGAAAGAUGGAAGGAUAAGGUGGAGUUCAGCCCAUGAAGCGUGGGGUAAUUAGUUUAGCUCGGAUUGUGCUUGUAGAUAUUUGUUUUCUGUUUAAAUUAGAGAUAGAGUCCUAGUCGGUUAAGAAGAUUAUUUGUACGGGGCUAUAAAUAGCUACCUUUGUAAAUCUGUAAAAAAAAAACAAUCAAUCAAUACAACAAGUUACUUUAUUCUUCGUACUUACUUUCGAGCAGGCGACUUCGCCAUCACUUUUCCUUCUCACGAGUUCGUGCGGGUUGGCAGGGCUGCAUCAUCUUGAUCUCCGGCCGAUUCUGUAAGUUCCGUUUAUCGAGUAAUAUCUAAGCUUUAACUUCCGGCGCAUCGCUGUUGUUUCGUUUAGAUUUUAUUCAUCAGUUAUCGAUAUCGACUAGAUUCAUAGGUUUUUACCUGUUCUCCUAGUUUUUAUCACCAGUUACCCCGCUAGGAAUCGGUAGUAUCGGCUUUCAUUACUUUCUGUUACCAAAUCCAUCUGUUGCCGAUUAGAUCUUUUCCUGGUGCUGUUACUACGUGCCUUGUACCGAUUACUUUAAUAUUUUUCUAUCUACAAGGCUACGGGGGUCGUGCUGUCUUGUAGCCGAUUUCUUUACCACAGUAAAUCGGCCGAUCUGCCGAUAAGCUCUCUCGAUCGGAAACUUAGCCGAUCGUAGUUACUGAUUUUGACACGUGUUCUUCCUUGCCAAUCAACAGGUCAGAUUGGCUGGCACGCCGCGCGAACCGCACCAGGGCAUUCACCCGAACAGGAGCUAAGCAGAUUCUCCCGGGUCGUGUGUCGGCCGCUGGGAUUCGGUUGACCGAUUUCUAGCGCCAACACACUUUUGGCACGCCCGGUGGGACCAUUACAACCGCUGUCUUGUCGAAAGCUGCUGAAGUCUCCGAAGAUAACGUCAUCGAAGUGACGGAGGCAGAUCUAAAGGACGACCAAAAAGAAGAUCUAAAUCAGUAUUUGGAGCAAGUCCGGAAAACUUGCUUGAAAUCCUUCAGUCGUUCCAGGAGCGGGGAAACUGUUAAAAAGUCUCCUUUCCCUACUCCCCGCCAGAUCACGAUUUCAGAAGAUUCGGACAAAAUGUCCGAUAUGAUUCAGCAAUCUCUUCAUCACGCCUUCAUCAACCAAUCCCCGGUACUUUCAAACAUGGUGCACAAUGCUGUUGUCAACUCUUUCGCCGGAGGUAUACCACAGGGGUACAGGGGGCCUACGUAUUUUCAGCCGAUUCCACCAAAUCAGGCUUAUCAGGCUUCACAGCCGAUCCAAUCCUCUGUCGGAGGAUCUGGUGCUUCUACGUCAUCAACUCCUUUGGGAUACGGCUCCACUGCACCACUCCCUCCAGUCAUUCCUUUACCCUGGGGGGCACCCUUAAACACGACCGGUUUGAAUCAAUCGGUCAGCCAAGGAAAUCCUCCGUUCCAGACACCCUCCCAAACGGCCACUCGGCCGAUCAUACCACCAUACCAGCCUAUCGCUCCGGAGGUCAACAAGACGUCAGAGCUCAUGCUAUAUGAUGGAACAAGUGGUUCAUACAAGCAGCCGUCCUUUACUACACCGCCGGCUUAUACUCAGAUACCACCUUUUCAUCAACCUCCUUUUAUUCAACCUCCGAUUUAUCAACAUGUGCCGAUUCCGCCGCCAAUUAUUCCCCAACAACAACCGGAUUGGACGGCGCAAAUCGCGGAGGUAAUGCAAGAACAAUUCGGACUGAAGCCGAAGGUGCAAACUUAUACCUACAGGACACCAUACCCAUCUACGUACGACUUGUUGCCGUUUCCCCAUCGGUACAAAGUCCCGGAUUUCACUAAAUUUUCCGGAAUAUAUGAUACUUCUACCGUGGAACAUGUGAAUAGAUUCAUCAUCCAAUGCGGAGAAGCAGCUACGCAAGAUGCCCUACGGGUACGGUUGUUCUCGUCAUCUUUGUCUGGAUCGGCUUUCCAAUGGUUCACCACUUUGCCACCAAACUCGAUUAUCACAUGGGCCGAUCUAGAGAGGCAGUUCCACAAGUACUUCUAUGCUGGAGUCCACGAAAUGAAGUUGUCUGAUUUAACUAGCCUCCGGCAACGAAGUGAUGAGCCGAUACCCUCGUACAUACAGAGGUUUCGGGAAAUCAGAAACAAAUGCUACUCCUUGGCUCUAACCGAUGCGCAGUUGGCCGAUAUAGCUUUCCAAGGCCUGCUGCCACACAUUAAGGAGAAAUAUGCUUCGCAAGAAUUCGAGAGCCUGAGCCAGAUUGUCCACCGAUUGUCCGGACAAGAGGUGCGUCCAUUCGAUCCAAGAAGGAAUUUCCAGAAGAAAGUGGCGUUCCUGGAAGAAUUAGAGGACGAGGAAGACGCCGACAUCGGACUUGCAGAGUGGAUUAAAGGAAAGAAGCCGAUAUCAUGCCCGUUCGGCAAAAAGGAGCCGGAAGCAUUUGGUUUCGAUACAACUAAAGCUGACAAAAUCUUUGAUCUUCUACUCCAGGAAGGACAAAUUAAACUCUCGCCUUACCACACGAUACCCUCUGCCGAACAAUUGAAGAAGAUGAAGUAUUGCAAGUGGCAUAACGCCACAUCACAUGAUACCAACGCCAUUGAGCAAGGCAGACUCAAAUUUGAAGUGCCGGCAAAACUGGCUAAACCUAUGAAGAUUGAUCAACACCCUUUUCCUACCAACAUGGUGGAUACGGGUAAGAAUCCCCUCCAAACAAAAGUGCUGACGUCCGAAUCGGCAAAAAGGAGCGGCUCUGUCGACCCCAGAAAUCAAGUUACACCCGAAGACAUCAAAGGGAAACGGCGAAUGGAGGACGACGAUGGUGAGUCUGAUAGACCACGUAUUACUUCCCAGUUCCUGCUCCAAAAGUACCAACGCCAACAUGAACGAUCGAGGUCCCGAGAGGAAGCAAUGCGUCGACACGAAGAACACUGGAGAUGCCCAUUCUUCAUCCAUUGUUGGGAAAAUAACCUCAGGCUUCCAUCAGCCGAUACUUGCCCAGAGUGCAACGGUCCCUAUCGAAGCAAUCGGCCGAUUACAAGGUCUCGCUCCAGAGACGGAAGGCCAGAACCGAUCAGCAGGAAUCGGCGCAACCCAGAUGAUCAGCGCCCUUCCAUGCGUGAUCGGCUGGGGGGCAGAAGUGACCGAUAUGAUCGGUCAGAAGAUAGAAGCCAUAAUAGGCAGGGGGGCAGGACCGAUCGACAUGAUCAAUCAAGUAGCAAAGCCAGCGUUCACAGUCGGCUCCAAGACAUGGCCGAUGCUCGGGUAACAGACGAGAACCCGUUAGGACGCGAGCCAGAAUGGGAACGCGCCAGGAAAGAAGGGAGGCCAAUAAACCCCAGAUGGUGUCCCGAUGGUUUGACCAAAUCACAAAAACGAAGAGUCCAACGCCUCCGCCAAUGGGAACAGCAAGAAGAAGAAAGCGCGAUGGACAAGAAGGAAGGGAGGCCUCGGGUAUGGCGCCCCAAAGGAAACGACAAGGGCAACGAUGAAUCGGCGGGUGAUGAAUCGGCAGCCGAAAUCGGUAUGGUUUUCAUAUUGCCGACGGAGUUUAUGACCCCUGCCGAUCAACAGAACGUGUCGGCAAUAGAGGAACAAACAGCACGGUUGGCGUUAGAACCAAUGAUGGCCACGUUCGAAAAGCCCGAAGACGACGAACGACAACAUAUGAAGGCGUUGUUUCUUAAAGGGCAUGUUGACGGUCGCCCCCUCACUAAAUUGAUGGUCGACGGGGGAGCUGCCGUCAACAUCAUGCCGUAUGCCAUACUCCGAAAGCUGGGAAAGAGCGAUGACGACCUAACCAGGACGGACAUGAUGCUCAAGGACUUCGAAGGCAAGGUGUCAAACGCUCGCGGUGCCCUCUGCGUUGACCUCACCAUCGGCAGUAAGACCCUUCCUACCACGUUUUUCGUCAUUAAUGGCAAAGGGUCCUAUAAUAUGCUUCUUGGACGAGACUGGAUACACGCAAACUGCUGCAUACCGUCAACUAUGCAUCAAUGCCUGGUACAAUGGGUCGGCGACAACAUCGAGGUGGUCAAAGCCGACUCCGCGUACAGCAUCGCAGCAGCCGACGCACAGCAAUGGAGCUGCGAAACCGUCAGGUGCAUAUCAGGUAGGGUGUGGGAAACUGAUUUCCUGAAGGUCACCGAUUUUGGCCUACAGCCGAUCCGAGCAGUCGGCUCUGAAGAAGCGCAAUAAAUGGAUCAGUUCGCCCGAGAAGACGGGAAGCUGGGACACGGAUUCACGUCGGCCGAUUCAUUGGAAAUGGUAGAUUUAGGUGACGGGACCAAACCAAGGCCGACUUUUAUUAGUGCAAAUUUAGAUCCAGAGUACAAGUGUAAAUUGACAAAUUUAUUAAGAGAAUUCAAGGAUUGUUUUGCGUGGGAGUAUCACGAGAUGCCCGGAUUAGAUCGAUCUAUUGUUGAACAUCGGCUACCCAUAAAACCAGGGUAUCGGCCGUACCAACAACCCGCACGGCGAUGCAAUCCUAAAAUUUUACCAGACAUAAAAGCCGAAAUAACUCGGCUAAUUGAAGCGAAAUUUAUUCGGCAAUGUCGUUACGCCGAGUGGAUUUCUAAUAUCGUACCGGUGUAUAAGAAAAACGGGAAACUGCGCGUUUGCGUCGAUUUCAGAAAUCUUAAUCAGGCCACACCGAUGGAUGGCUACCCCAUGCCUACGGCCGAUGUACUGAUCGACGCUGCCGCGGGGCACAAAAUUAUUAGCUUCAUGGAUGGGAACGCCGGAUACAAUCAAAUACUUAUGGCCGAAGAGGACAUACCCAAAACGGCUUUCAGAUGUCCAGGCCAUCUUGGUCUAUUCGAGUGGGUGGUGAUGACUUUCGGUUUGAAGAAUGCUGGUGCUACAUAUCAGAGGGCCAUGAACUAUAUUUUCCACAAACUCAUCGGCCUCCUGGUGGAGAUCUACAUCGACGACGUUGUGGUCAAAUCCAAAAGCCACGAGGAACACCUAGCCGAUUUGCGAAGGGUCCUAGAGUGUACCAAGAAACAUGGUCUUAAGAUGAAUCCCAACAAAUGCGCUUUCGGCGUCUCCGCCGGACAGUUCCUAGGAUUCAUGGUGCACGAACGAGGCAUUGAAGUCAAUCAGAAGACCAUAGCGGCCAUCAACAAAGUCGUCGCUCCGCAGAACAAAACUGAACUACAAUCUCUAAUCGGCAAGGUAAACUUCAUCGGAAGGUUUAUAUCUAAUCUAUCUGGACGGAUCCAGACGUUCACACCACUUCUGAAGUUGAAGCCAGACCAAGAAUUUAUUUGGGGAGAAGAACAGCGCAAGGCGUUAGAAGACAUCAAGCGAUACUUAGUCUCGCCCCCAGUCCUGGUUCCCCCCCAAACGGGUAAGCCGUUUAAACUAUAUUUAUCAGCCGAUGAAAAAGCUAUUGGGUCGGCUCUAGUCCAAGAGUUUGAAGGCAAAGAACGGGUGAUUUAUUACGUUAGUAGAAGACUCCUGGAUGCCGAAACAAGAUAUCCUCCAGUAGAGCGUUUGUGUUUGUGUCUUUACUUCUCGUGCACCAAACUCAGACACUAUCUACUGUCGGCAGAAUGUAUAGUCGUAUGCAAAGAUGAUGUAGUGAAAUACAUGCUGUCACUGCCGAUAUUGAAAGGGCGAAUCGGUAAAUGGAUUUUAGCUUUAUCAGAAUUUGACCUACGGUACGAAUCGGCAAAAGCCAUCAAAGGUCAAGUCAUGGCCGAUUUCGUCGCACAGCACUGUGGGCCGGAGAUCGCCUUCGUGGAACUAGCGCCUUGGCAGUUAUUUUUUGAUGGGUCAUCAUGCGGAGUCGGAUCGGGAAUCAGCAUCGUUCUCAUAUCGCCUCGGGGGGCAAGAUACGAUUUUUCUCUGCCGAUAGAAACCGCCACCACAAACAAUCAAGCGUAAUACAGAGCUGUAUUAAAAGGCUUACGAUUAUUGAGAGAAGUCAAGGCCGAUUCUGUCGAGGUCUUCGGAGAUUCGAUGUUAAUCGUGGAUCAACUAACCGGGAAGGCUGAGUGCAAAGAUGACAUAUUACGAAUUCAUCACGAAGAUUGCCUACAGCUGUUAAAAGAAUUCAGAUCGGCAGUAAUCGAGCAUGUCCCAAGAGACCGCAAUGAGGAAGCGAACAAACUCGCUCAACACGCAUCUGGGUAUCGGCCGAUUCUAGGCGCCAUGGCCUUAGAGCUUGCAGCUGACGAUUGGCGCAAAGAAAUUGCCGAUUACCUAAAGGAUCCGUCUAAAAAGGUGGAGCGGCGAGUACGCUUUCACGCUACCAAAUACGUAUUACUCGAAGAUGAUCUGUUUUACCGAACGAUCGAAGGUGUUCUUCUUAAAUGCCUUGGGACAGAAGAAGCCAAGACUCUAAUGGGAGAAAUCCACGAAGGGGUAUGCGGAGCUCACCAAUCAGCACAUAAGAUGAAGUGGAUGAUCAGAAACAAUGGGUACUAUUGGCCUACGAUCCUUGAAGAUUGUUUCAAAUAUUAUAAGGGUUGUCAGGAGUGUCAAAAGUUUGGAAAUGUCCAGCAUGCACCUGCAUCGGCCAUGAAUCCCAUCAUCAAACCAUGGCCGUUCAGAGGGUGGGGAAUAGACCUUAUCGGCCAAAUUUAUCCACCAUCGAGCAAGGGGCACAAGUUUAUUCUGGUCGCCACCGAUUAUUUCACCAAAUGGGUGGAGGCAAUCCCAUUAAGAACUGUGACUUCGGCUAUCAUGGCCGAUUUUGUAAGGGAUCAUAUCGUCUACCGAUUCGGUAUCCCUCAAACUGUAACAACCGAUCAAGGAACGAUGUUCACAUCGGGGGAAUUUGAGGAGUUUACAACCGAUAUGGGCAUCAAAUUGUUAAAUUCUUCUCUGUAUUACGCUCAGGCCAAUGGUCAAGCAGAAUCUUCCAACAAAGGAAUAAUCAAGUUGAUCAAAAGGAAGAUUGAAGAAUACCCGAAGAAGUGGCACCUGUGUUUAACCGAAGCCCUAUGGGCAUACAGAAUGGCCUGUCAUGGGGCCACCAAGUUAUCUCCUUAUCAGUUGGUAUACGGUCACGAUGCAGUACUUCCAUGGGAAUCGAGGGCAGGAUCAAGGCGCAUUUCACUUCAAGACCAGUUAUCGGCCGACGACUACUCGGCACUUAUGAAAGAAGAACUUGAUGAUGUGGCCGGUCAUCGACUAAGGGCUCUGAUAAGUAUCGAAGAGAAUAAAAAGAGAGUGGCCAGGUGGUACGAUAAAAAGGUCAAAGUCAAGCAGUUCUCCCCCGGAGAUUUGGUAUGGAAGUUAGUACUACCGAUCGGGUCGAAAGAUCCUAAAUUCGGUAAAUGGUCUCCUACCUGGGAAGGGCCGUAUAAAAUCGGCAAAUGCUUAUAUCUUGGAAACAAUAGAAGGAGAAGAAUUCACUAGAGCUCUGAAUGGGAGGUAUUUAAAAAGGUAUUACCCAAGUAUAUGGGUCGGUGCCUAAGGAAUUAAACACGAUCAUACAUGACCGAUACGAUUCGGUCUUGAGACACACAUAAAGUCAACCGGAACGGCCGAUUACAUUCAUUCGGUACGGGCGACGGGUUACAUGGCCGACAAAAUGUUUAGUCGCCCUUAGAACAAAAAUACAGCAACUAAUUAUUCUUUUUCUUACGCUCCCUCUCAGCCCGACCUAACUCUAUCAUGAGUCGGAUGUAUUCUUCUUCUAUGGCCUUCAUUGAAAUCUCCGCUUCGACUUGACCGGGGAGAUCUACGGGAGGGCGCGAAGUCCCCACUCCCGCAUCUUCAAGAACGACUUGCCGAGGGAGUGGAUGACUCCUGUCAAUGGGAGGUCGACGGCUGCCAUUCCUCUCCACGAAGUCCAGGAUCAUUCGGGCCUCCGUGGCGAUGUCGUCUUCAAGAUCGCCACAACGAUCGCCCCUGACAGGUGGAGAUUGCUGGUUACUUUCACUCACCACGGAAUCCAAGACUACGCGAGCCUCCGUGGUAAUGUGAUCCUGGAGCUCUUCUCGGUGAGCCGCGAUCAGCAUCUUGUCCUCCGACGUUAAUGGAUCUUCGGAAUGAAUGCACUCAAUGGCGCGCACGAGCUCGGGGCUAAGACGUUGAGGCUGAAACAAAGAAGGGAUGAGGAGGGAUAUUCUCUUCCUUAGGGUCUAAAAAAGAAAGGAAGGUAGAGGUCAAAAAACUUCACCUGGUUAACAGAGGAAGAAGAAGAUGACGAGGCCAUAGCGAAGAAAUUGCACCGAUGAGAAGGGGCAGAAAGGUUGAACCGAGAGCCAAGAUUGAUGUUACCAGGAGUAAGCGCCGAGCUUGGUAUUUAUAAAAGAAUGCGUGGAAAUCUGGUAAAGCUACGUCCCAUCGGUAAUAAGAAGGCAAUAAAUAGAAAGGGCGUCGCGAGGGGCGGUCAAAGAAGGUAGUAAAUGAUUCGUACAAAACGGUCAGUGUUUUACAGAUUACCCAGAAGGGUAUCGAUGGCCGUGAUGGCCCGACGCCGGAUCUGAUCGGCAGAGUCAAGUACCCGUUGGUCUUCUUCCGCCGAUCCAGGAACCUCCGAUGCGCUGCGAUGGAGUCUCAGUGCCUCGUGAGCAAAGCGUUGCCUCUCCCGUGUUAAAUCGGCAAUAACAGAAGGUAGCUCUUCGAGUUUGUUCUCUUCGGCACUGAUUGCCUUGAUCACUUGCUCCAUUUCCUUGGCAAGCUCCGCCCUACGACGCUUGAGACGGUCUAUUUCUCCUAUGAUCGCCGGACGGGAAUCUUCUAGGACAUGGAUACGCCGAUUCGCCUCUUGAGCCUGACGUUUGAAAGCGUCUUCCUCUUCGCGAGCCUUGGUCAGCUUAGCGCGAUCGGCCAUGUGACGAAGGGCUCUGAAGACCGGGAUCCUCAUAGACUCGAUGAAGGCCGCCGGCGCCAGGGCCUCCUCCGCCUCUUCUGGUACUCGUCCGCUGACGUCAUUGAAGAGCUGCCGAAUCGGCGAGGCGUCUUCUACUAAUCGGCCGAUGUCCCCUUGAAGGAGGGAUCGGAUGCUGGAAAGUUUGGCUCGGACGUCGUCAGGAACGGAACUCAAGGCGACUUGGCGAGAAGCAACUUCUUCGUCGUCAGAGAGGGCGACCGCAAAAGAAAAGAGACUGUUGUCGGGGGUAUCCUGUUCCUGAAGAUAAUAAAGAAAAGAAAUGAACCAGCUGUAAGAAAGAGCAAAUCGGCUAAGAUGGAGGCCGAAACAGAAAAAUACCAUUUUGAAGCGAAUCUCCUCAUGUUGCACUUGAGAAGCCGCCAUGCCUUGCUCGGGGGCCUGCGCCAUGGGUUCAUCAGAUGGAGAGGACUCCACGAUAAUUGGCGCAGUGUUUGGACCAGCCUCCUGACAAGAAAUCGGCGAUCGAGGAGCGAUUGAUGUGCCGAUGGCCUGUGUCAGAAGUUUGAAUAAAUACGGUACGUAAAUGCCCAAAGGAAAUCGGUACGAGAAGUUCUAUACAUUAACGGAAGGAAACGGGGGCACGUCAAUAGCUGGAGGGGCUGCUGCCGAUUGUGGUACUUCUGUAGGGAUGCUCUGUGCAGUUUAAAGAUAAAAGAAAAAUUAAUAUCAAAAAUAAUAAUCGGAGACAGCGCAACUCAGUUUUACCUGUAUGGCCUCCAACAACAACGAUGCGGCGGCCGCCCCAGCUUGCGUCAUGGUUUGAGUAUCGGCACCUUGAAUGACUUGAGGAGGUGGUACGGCCGAAGUGUCUGCCGAUACGCUCACGGGAGGAUCCGCCGAUCCCGUACGAGCCCGGACUCGGCGACUGGUCUUCUUGGUAGUCCUUUUAUGAACUUGUUUCGAUCGGCCAGUAAUCACGUCAACAGACGGGGCGUUAUAGCCGAUAAGGGGAUAAGUAGUGUAUGGAUGACUCUCUAUCAGUCGUCCGCUGCGGCUGUGUGUUGGAGGGAUCCGAUUCUCGGCCUAAAAUAAUAAAAUCAUUAGUACUCGGUCGUGUUAAGGGGAAUAAAAGGGAAUAAAAAUCGGCUAUGUGAAGUACCUCGGCGUUUGGAUCAAUGUUGGUCGGGUCCAGAAGAUUGCAGUAUGCCGAUGCUGAGUUGCAGAAGAGGAAUUGCUUCCAAUCAGCCCACCAUAGUUUGAACGGCUGAACAGCAAAUGGAGCUACUAGCCAGUCGUUCAAGUUAAUUGUACUGGAGUCUGGAAUUCGGUCUCGCAACCGACCGUAAUCUAGGCUAGAUUUGAGAUCAUCUCUAAACUUGAUUUUGCCAGCAAAGUACACCUGAAUCGGCAGCUGACCCAUGCCAAAUUGUCGUGCCGCAGCAGAAGGGUUGUAGAAUUCAUACGUAGGGGCAUCCUUCCCUGAGAAGAAAUUGGCCGGUAGGAUCCCUGGCUUGAUCAACCCUUCAUAGAGAUCUUCAUCAAACCGGCCAGAAGUUGAGUCAAAGCAGGAAGGGAGCUCGAAGAUGGGAAUGUCUCGCUGGUAUGGAAACCAGAUAGUUGCGUCCUCAUUAAAUCCAUCGUAAAAGCACCGAAAGUACUCGGCUACCUUUGUAGCGGAAUACGCACAACCUGGAAAAGCUGAUGCCGCUUCACCAUAAGACAUGCAUCGGCGACGCUCGGUAGGGUCUUCCGCCGAUUCAAUAUUGGGAAACGUCAUGUGGUCCACUGGCUGCCGGGUGAUCCUGUUCAUGUAAAGGUUCAACCAUAGAUUGACGAACCACCAAGGCCCACCUGGGUUGCCGAUUGGUUCUCCCUUGGAAAGUUUUGUGCCGAUUUGGUGGAGCAUGUGGUACACAGCACCCAGAAGAUGUUUCCCGAGAGGAAUGUGGCUUCCUUUGGACAGUGCCUCGGCUAAAGAUUGGGUGUUGGUUGUUGGGCCGGCGGCUCUUCCACAGAAAAGGUGUUUUUCUAGCCACAUCAUCAGGAAAGCGGUGUGCUCCCUAUUAUCAAUAGUACCGGUCUUCUUGUUAUUACUAAUAAAGCCCUUCCAGCUGCCGAUUCCUCUUACGUCCAGCCGAUGCGACGGUACGGUCAGAAGUUGGAAAGGCGUGUCAGGAGAGGAUAUGUCCAGGCCGGUCAAGAGGACCACAUCGGCCAGAGUGGGGGUCAUAGGACCGUGUCCAAAUAAGAAUGCAUUAAGAGCGUCAGACCAAAAAUAGGAAGCCGCCAUCACUAGCGGUUCGUUUUUCUCCAUUUGCGACAGAGAGAGGUUGAUACAUUGGCCGAUUUUGAGUUCAUCCCACAAGACGCUCUUUGACGUGGCCAUCCGUUGGUACCAUUCCCUCCAACCGGGGGUUUCAUUCGGCCAAGAUCUAAAAGUGCUGGCCCAUUGAUCUAAGUUCAUGUCAGAUCGUUUGAAAGGUAUCCGGUCAGUUUCCAAGUUUAUGAGGUCUGCUGGAUCUGGGUCUCCCAUGGGACCAAGGCAAACAAGGCCAGGACUACCCGUGAGAUGGAUAGUGAUUCUAUGUCUAACCGCCUAAAUGAGGAAAAGAGGCAUAAGAAUAUAAGGAAUAGAUCUAAGAUAAAUACGUUACCGAUAGAGGAAAAAUUCGGUGUUUACCUCCGGUAUAAAAUUCUGAGUAAUCGGUGUGGUCGCCGAUGCAGAUGCAGAUGAUGAAGCCGUAAUGGGGAUCGCCAUUGGGAUCUCUGAUGAAGCUCCUUCAUCUAUGGAUGGAGUGACGGUUGUUGCCACCGUUACCGGAGGUGCUACCUCCACCGGGGGCAUUGUCCCUGGAGCAUCGCGUGCUGGGGAAUUACCGGAGGGAGUCGCCAUUGAAGGGGAGGGGAAGAAGUGACAGGAGCUGGAGCUGGAAGGCUUCGAUGGCAAGAUUGAAGAAGGAAGGAAGUGCGCGCGCUGGAAAGAGGGAUGUGAGCUUGAAGAUGAGUUGCGGUGAAAUGAUAUUUAUAGGGUGCCUGAAGAAAGGGUAAAGAUGGAAUUUUCAACGCGCCGGCGCGUCGAGUUUUUCGGGGUAGUGGCUGUCGUGGGCGCCCGUUUCAAAAAAUUGCAAUGAUCAGCCGGGAGACCGCGAAACGGAAGGAUAUUUUCACUGCGGCCGUUUCGGAAGAGAGGUUAUAAAGAAUUUCGAAGUAAAAGGCUAUGUUUUACUCCGAAACUGGGGGGCAUGUGUUGACGCCGGAUUUCGUCAUCAGUAGAAUCGGCGCCAAAGAGGAAAGAAAUCGAAGGAGGACGGAUGGAAAUCGGCCAAAAGGUGCUACAGCGCGGAAUCGGUCAAGUGGCUUUUACUUUGCUUCAGAGUGAAUACGCCGGGUUCCCAAUCGGCAAUCCUUUGCUGAUAAGAAAUCGGCCGAUCAGGAAGGUGGACUAAGGUGGGCCUGUAUGGGCUUGGAAAGAUGGAAGGAUAAGGUGGAGUUCAGCCCAUGAAGCGUGGGGUAAUUAGUUUAGCUCGGAUUGUGCUUGUAGAUAUUUGUUUUCUGUUUAAAUUAGAGAUAGAGUCCUAGUCGGUUAAGAAGAUUAUUUGUACGGGGCUAUAAAUAGCUACCUUUGUAAAUCUGUAAAAAAAAAAAACAAUCAAUCAAUACAACAAGUUACUUUAUUCUUCGUACUUACUUUCGAGCAGGCGACUUCGCCAUCACUUUUCCUUCUCACGAGUUCGUGCGGGUUGGCAGGGCUGCAUCAUCUUGAUCUCCGGCCGAUUCUGUAAGUUCCGUUUAUCGAGUAAUAUCUAAGCUUUAACUUCCGGCGCAUCGCUGUUGUUUCGUUUAGAUUUUAUUCAUCAGUUAUCGAUAUCGACUAGAUUCAUAGGUUUUUACCUGUUCUCCUAGUUUUUAUCACCAGUUACCCCGCUAGGAAUCGGUAGUAUCGGCUUUCAUUACUUUCUGUUACCAAAUCCAUCUGUUGCCGAUUAGAUCUUUUCCUGGUGCUGUUACUACGUGCCUUGUACCGAUUACUUUAAUAUUUUUCUAUCUACAAGGCUACGGGGGUCGUGCUGUCUUGUAGCCGAUUUCUUUACCACAGUAAAUCGGCCGAUCUGCCGAUAAGCUCUCUCGAUCGGAAACUUAGCCGAUCGUAGUUACUGAUUUUGACACGUGUUCUUCCUUGCCAAUCAACAGGUCAGAUUGGCUGGCACGCCGUGCGAACCGCACCAGGGCAUUCACCCGAACAGGAGCUAAGCAGAUUCUCCCGGGUCGUGUGUCGGCCGCUGGGAUUCGGUUGACCGAUUUCUAGCGCCAACAUCUGCGCAUUCAAAUAAUUUAAUUGAAUAAUUUCUUGAUCACAGCAAUGCAGUAAAAUAAAUAUUUUACAGGCUAAAUGAGUUGGUAUAGAAUUAAUGAUUACUUCAUACUUAUUGUCAAUUUACUCGUUAAUUAAAUAUAUUUUUGCAUGUACAAAAUCUGUGAAGGUUUUGUUUUUCAUCCUGAAAUGCAGUGAAAAGGUAAAAUAAAAUCCAUUUCCAAAAAACAGGCGGGAGAAGAAAAAUAGGAAAAAAGACCUUUUGUCUCGGGGCUAACAGCAACCGGGACAAAAGGCCCCCCUUUUAUCCUGGUUGCCAACGGCAACCGGGAUAAAAGGGUACGUUUCGUCUCCCGCCCAAACGUACCCUUUUAUCCCGGUUGCCAACUGCAGCAGGGAUAAAAGGGUACACUCCCAGCCCCACCUGGCGGGGGUACCCUUUUGUCCCGGGUCCCGUCGCCAACCGGGAUAAAAGGGGGGGGGCCUUUUAUCCCGGUUGGUGNNNNNNNNNNNNNNNNNNNNNNNNNNNNNNNNNNNNNNNNNNNNNNNNNNNNNNNNNNNNNNNNNNNNNNNNNNNNNNNNNNNNNNNNNNNNNNNNNNNNGACGAGACGACGACGCGAGACGACGACGGCCGAGGCGAAGACGACGACGGCGGCGUAGGCGGGACGGCGACGAGACGGCGACGAGGGGCGACGAGGAUGGAGCCGGCGACGAGGAUGUGGAGCCGGUGGCCGGAGGCGACGAGGUGGCCGGGGGCCGGGCGCGUCGACGGACGAGGAGGGGAUCGAGGAGGGCCGGCCGGGGGACGACGACGGCGCAAUGGGGGACAUCGACGGCGCAAUGGGGGACGACGACGGCGGCGGCCGGUGAGGGAGGCGGACGGGCGGCGACGGCGGAGAACGCGCGGGACUUGCGAAAUUUUGGCUAAGUGUGUAACUGGCAGGGGGUAGAAGGGAGUACAGUGCCUUUUAACCCCCCCCUUUUAUCCCGGUUCGUAAUAGGACCCGGGACAAAAGGCUCUUUUGUCCCGGGUCCUAUUACGAACCGGGAUAAAAGGGGGGGGUUAAAAGGCACUGUACUCCCUUCUACCCCCUGCCAGUUACACACUUAGCCAAAAUUUCGCAAGUCCCGCGCGUUCUCCGCCGUCGCCGCCCGUCCGCCUCCCUCACCGGCCGCCGCCGUCGUCGUCCCCCAUUGCGCCGUCGAUGUCCCCCAUUGCGCCGUCGUCGUCCCCCGGCCGGCCCUCCUCGAUCCCCUCCUCGUCCGUCGACGCGCCCGGCCCCCGGCCACCUCGUCGCCUCCGGCCACCGGCUCCACAUCCUCGUCGCCGGCUCCAUCCUCGUCGCCCCUCGUCGCCGUCUCGUCGCCGUCCCGCCUACGCCGCCGUCGUCGUCUUCGCCUCGGCCGUCGUCGUCCCGCCGUCGUCGUCUUCGUCCUCGUCGCCGUCCCGCGCGCCGCCCGGCCGCCGCCGUCCCGCCGCCCCGGCCGCCGCCGUCCCGCCACCCCGGCCGCCGCCGUCCCGCCGCCCCGGCCGCCGCCGUCCCGCCGACCCGGCCGCCGCCGACCCGCCGACCCGGCCGCCGCCGUCCCGCCGUCCCGCCGUCCCGGCCGUCGGCCCGCGCGGGAGAGGUCCGCUGCCGCGCCGGCCGGCAGCGCCGGGAGGGUUUUCUUUUUAAGUUAAUUAGAAAAUUAAGUUUUAUUUUUAGAUAGAAUUGUAAUUUUGUUAAGUUAGAUUUUUAGAUUUCUAGUUAGUUUGUUAAGUUAGAUUUCUAGUUAGUUUUUUAAGUUAGAGUUGAUAUAGAGAUCGCCGAGUAGCCGCCGUGAUCGUCGCCUUGUAGCCGCCGUGAUCGCCGCCGAGUAGCCGCCGUGAUCGCCGCCAUCCCGCCGCCCAUCACAACCUAGUAGGCACCGCCCGUGGUUCCGGUGAACCGUCCCCGCCGUACCGCCGCCCUGACCGCCGCCGUCCCGCCUCCGCCGCCCUGAUCGCCGCCGUCCCGCCUCCGCCGCCCUGAUCGCCGCCGUCACAACCUAGGCACCGCACGUGGAUAUUGUUACAAAUUCGUAGAAAUUCGUCAAAAUUCGUAGAAAUUCGUCAAAAUUCGUAGAAAUUCGUAGAAAUUUGUAGAAAUUCAUAGAAAUUCGUAGAAAUUCGUAGAAAUUUGUAGAAAUUCGUAGAAAUUCAUAGAAAUUCGUAGAAAUUCAUAGAAAUUUGUUGAAAUUCGUCAAAAUUCAUAGAAAUAUUUCGGACUUUGUACGAUUCAUGUUAUUUUAUGAUUUCAUUAUAUACAUGUAUGAUUCCAUUCCGGACUUUGUACAAAUUUGUAUUAAGACGAUUUCUAUGACUGUCAUGUAUGAUUCCAUGUAUGUUUCCAUCAAUAGUUGAAAUGGCAGACGAUGAGACCGCAAGGUAUAUCAUGGAGCAGAUAAUCGCUGGUGAUGGUAGUGGCGACAACGUUCCACUAUCAUACACGUAUGAAGAGGGCACCCAGGCGGACAUGUUCCUCAACAUGUCCGCUGAUGGGAAUGAAGAGCAACAGCCGCAACAACAACUUGCCGUGGCGGAAGGUUCCGGCGAGGUAUAUACAACCAUUCUUGUAUUGUUUCACGCCACCGCUACUACUACGUACUAAUUAACGAAUCUUGAACUGUUAGCCCUCCGGAUCGACACAAGGGCAGAAGACCUGAGGUCGUACAAAGGUGAUGGAAGGGAGGCUUGUCAUCACCGAAGUUACAGAAGAGGGCAAGCCGGUUGCUCCCGAGAAAGUAGCAAAGAAGUACGUGAGUCAAAUCGGGGCAAUCGUUCGGGACAACGUGCCUAUCAGCAUCAGAGAAUGGAAGGGCAGAAGAGAUAAUCCGUACGCCCUUCCAGAGAUAGAAAAGAAUAUGCUGUGGGAAGACGUGAAGAGACAUUUCACAUUCCCCGAAGGAUAUAGCGAGAAGGAUGUCAAAGCGUGGACGCUUAAGAAGAUGGCUACUCAAUUCCAGACAUUCAAGAAGAUGCUGGACACCCACUACAUCAAGAAGGGCAAAACUCCAGACUUCAACGCGUGGCCAAAGUUGAGGGACCACUGGGAUGCAUUUGUUGAAUACAAGAGGAGUGAAGAAGGUGUGAAAAAGAUCACGACCAACAUAGCAAAUGCUAGUCAGAAGGGCUACCACCAUCAUUUGGGGUGAGGUGGGUAUGGCUCAGCAAUUCCCAAGUGGAGGAAGAUGGAACAAGAUCUGAUCGAACGGGGAAUCGUACCUGCAACUAUUGAAUGGCCCGAACGAUCAAAGAACUGGUACUACGCUCAUGGAGGCUCCCUAAGCCAAGAGGAUGGGACGCUGAUUUUCAAUGACACAAUACGUGAGAAGGCCGAACAUCUCAUGAAGAACAUUGAAGAUUCCAAGGCUGGGAGGUUGAGGGUGGACCAAGAAAAUGAUGAGCUCACAUUGGCCCUCGGUAAUCCAGAGCACCCAGGACGUUGCCGGGGGUUCGGGGUGGUUCCGUGGAAGUUCGCUUUCCGAGGCGACAGCGCCUCUUACAGAAGCCGGAAGCGAAGAAAGGAACAGAUGGAGGAGAGCUGGUAGCAGAUGGUAGAACAAAGAAUGAUGGAUGAAAUCAAUCGGCGGGUGGCCGACGCAGUUGCGGAGUUGGCGCAAUCUGGAGCAAUGCCGAAUCCUAACACCGCCAGCCCUUCUCAACGCCUCGGGAGCAGUUGUGCUUCUACAGGGGUCCCCGAUGCGCAGACGCCCAGGUUACCCGUGGAGGAGCAAUGGUUCCCCGUGGAUGCCAUCACGCAACGGACCUCAUGUAAGCUGCAUGCACCGGUCGGCAACCUCACUAUUAAGGUAUACUUAUACAUAAUAUUUAUGCAAUCUUGUCAAUUGAUCCAGGCCUCGAGAUCGGAGUUCAACCUGUUUACUUCUACUAUAUGUACAGGUAGCGUACGGGAGUGUGUUACCAACCCUGGCAGGGCAGAGCAGUCAUGGCAUGGACAUUCCAACAGGCUACGCCAGCGUCUGCGUCGAGCAAAUAGUUGAUCCCCAGUAUGAAGGUCUAGAGCUCGACUUCCCGGGAGGCGACGGGGAAAAGACAUUGGCAGAUGCGCUUCAUGGGAUCAUUCUAUGGAAGAAACGCUACAUCAUUAUUCCCCGCACGGAGCCAUCUCCUCAGACCUCAAGACCACUCCCCGUAGAUCCCCAGCAGCGACCUUCUCCUCAUACCUCGAGACCGGCAUCUCCUGCUCCAGGACCGUCUCUUCCAUCUAUAUCAAGGUCUCCAUCUCCACCACAUCCUGGUGCUGGGAGCGACGACGACAAUAACAACACCCCUCCCCGAUCACCGUCACCGGCACCAAGAGCGGCCCCCUCGAAGGAACCUGCAGCACCACUCAAGAAGUCACGAGCACCGCCUCCCAAGCAAAGACAGAGAAAGAAGAAAACAAAGGUCGACCCUGAAGUGGCUCGCAAGGAACGCUUUGAGGCAAUGUCUCAUGAAGAACAGUGGGCAGAAAUCCAACGAGAGGCCAGUGAGUGGUUCAAGAAACAAGCCGAAUUAAAAAAGGCAAGGGAGAUGGAGCCACCGUCAGUAAGUCGGCGAGAUUUAAACUUUUUUAUCAGGAUGGAGGAAGAAGCCAAGAAAAGGAUACCACUCUUGUCAAACUAUGAACGGGCUCUAGUAAAGGCUGAUGAAAAGGAUAAAAGGAAAGGAAAAUCAUCCUCCAGCAGUCCAGUCCCCGACCUCAGCCAUUUAUCAAAAAAAGAUGCUCAACGGGUAAAAGCAAUGCCCUUGGAUCAACAAGCAAAUAUAUUGAAGUUCAUGGAAGAAACAGGUCUGGGACUUGAUGAAUGCAUAGGGCAAGUCGAGACGCCAACUGCACCGCCCCCUGAGCCGAAGUGGACUUAUGAGCUAGGCAAACCUCUAGUAAAGCCUUCAAUGGUACGGAAGCUAUCAACAAAGAUGUACGAAUUCCAUCAAUGGUCGGCAUGAAGGUAAAACCGAUAGAUUUUCACGGUGAAGGGGAGAAAGUGCUGUGGCUAGACUUCAAGGAUAUAUACGAAGUGUACCAUCAUGAUGCCCUGGACGUCUCUCUGAUCAGCGCUUGGAUUCUGUAAGUGUCCGUUUAUUAUCUCUACAUGUAAAUUUUGGCGUGCGUCACCGUACUAACUUCAUCUUCCAUUUCAUGUAGGAUGCUAAUUCAGACAUGCCGCCGAGAGGCGUACCUACAUGUAGGCUUCAUGGAUCCAUCUGUAGUUAACCAACAACAGAUACAAUUAGCGCCGGAAAAAACCUUUGCGGAAAUAUACAAUUUCCUACACAAACAAACAUUCAAGGAUUUCAUACUACUUCCAUACAACUUCAAGUAAGUGUGUGUAUACCGUCUACUUUCGAUGUCUUUUUCCUUAUCUCUACAUGUUAGUUAGCUCUAAUAUGCAUGAACAUUUUACGCACGCAGCUUCCACUGGAUCCUUAUUAUAAUUGAGCCUGAAAGAAGCCACGUCACUGUCUUAGAUUCGUUAAGGAAAGAUCCGAUGGACUACCAAGAAUUGCAAGACAUGCUAGGCUUGUAAUAAUUCUGGACCUUUAUCUCUAUGCAAAAAUUUAUUUCCUAAAUUUUAUCCCUGUUACACUAUGUCAUUCAUUAUUCUAAUCCGCAGCGCAUGGAAACAAUUCAUAAGGACACACAAAGGUCCAUUCAAAGAAAAUCUUACAUGGAACACAGACUUCCCGGUACGUAUGCAGUCUGCACAUUUAUUACAUUGUAUAACACAAAUAUUUCAUAACUUAUUUUUUUCCGCACUGAAGUGCUUAAGACAGGAACCCGGGAAUAAUCUAUGUGGCUACUACAUCUGUGAGCACAUGCACAGUUUUUUGGGACCCAAGGGACCGAAGAUGACGCCGCACAACUUUAAAGUACGUAAAAUAACUAUAUUACUAGUUAAUUAUUUUCUAGCUCCUUAUAUGUAUUUGUUCAUGUAACAUUCACAAAUUUCCAAAUUAUAGAUGUUAAAUAUUCAACAAGGACUCUUGAAGGAAGAAAGAGUAGCGGCAAUAUGUGAAGGUCUCAUUGGAUUCAUAAUGGACGAGGUGGUGGACGAGGUGGUAAAUCCAAGAGGAGAAUUUUAUUACGAUGGACGACAAUUAGACACUCCGAUCAGCAACACCACGAUGGAUACUUUGAUUUAUUUGUAUAUAUAAUACGCGCUAAUUAUGAUCGAUUUGUACUAAGCUAGUUGAAUUGUGUAUAUGAAUUGUGUAUAAGGAUUGUGUAUAUAUAUAGUAAUUGUAUAAUUACAAAUCCCAUUCGUUUAAAUACUAGUUGAUUUCGUUCUAAAAAAAUCUCAACUACAAGGUUAACAAAUUAAAAGGGCUGCGGUACUACUAUACGUAUACGUGAUGCAUGCAUGAAAAAUUCAGACGUCACGGCUGUGCCAUGCAAGCGCCAUUUAGUCCCGGUUGGAAUCGAGCCGGGACUAAAGGGGACCCCUUUAGUCCCGGUUGGGAAAUCCAACCAGGACUAAAGGGGGACCUUUACUCCCGGUUAAAAGACCCGGGAGUAAAGACCCCCCCCUUUUGUCCCGGUUGGUUUAUCCCGGAUGGAUAUCCGAGAGAUAUGCACCCUACCAACCGGGACUAAAGGCCAAUUCUCUACCAGUGUAGACCAAACAUGAUACACACCAUGCGUACCUUGCUGUGCAGACUAUGCAUUGACAAGAUACCCGACCACAUGUUGGCCUCGGUCACAUCAAAAGAAUCAUGUAGGCCACCAAUAAACUACUUGAAGCGGCAUUCCGUAUCGUAUAUGCAUUGCCGGUUCAUCUGCAUUACAUUACAUAAAGCACUAUUAACUAUUUGAAUAAAAUGAACCAAUUUAAAAGUAAUGUGUUGUACUCUACUAUAGAAAGCCCUAUCACUGCCGGAUCCAAAAACAUCAUUGUUAAUGGUGGUUAAGUACCAAAUAUGAUGGUCAAUAUUCUCAAGAAUAAUGGAGAAUUAGCAUUUCUUAGACACAUAUUUGGUUUUGAACAAUGUAGUUCCACAUGUCUUUGGAGAUUAUUUGGGUGUGGGUGAAAUAAUACAAAAAUAAGGAGAAAACACACUCCCAUGGCAAAGAAACACAACUCCAACCAAUGAGAGAUAGCCACAGGGGCAGCACACGGAUCCAUGGGCCCACAAACCGCAUCAAACCGUCUUACCAAGGCAGGUAGCACCCACAACCGUCAUUAGGACCCACCUGGAAGUCUACCAAGAAGAAGGUUGCGAGUGGGGCCAGGAGGGGUUCGGUUGAAUCAUCUCUAGCUAGCUCCCCUCAUCCCCAGCUGGUGGGUGGUGGUGGUUGAUGGUGUCCCUACAUCGGUUAGAGGAGAUUCCCCCAAAUAUUCCUCCUGUAAACCACCUCUAUGGACCUAUACAUAGAGGGGUGUGCUCUCCAUUCCAACACACACCACAAGUUGAAUCACUGUCUCCCUCUUUAGUUUCCAAGUUUAUGGAGUUAGGCUAGAGUAGCUCUGCUCAAGGUUCCAAGUCCACUUGGAGUUAAGCAUAUGUCUCUUGUAUCGUUAUUUCCUAAAUUGACUUUAUGCUUAGUUCUUAUAUGCAUGAGUUAGUCUAAUACCCUUGCUCUAUUGAUAUGCUCGACUUAUAUGCUCGUAUGCUAGUCAUAUACCCUUGCUGUCGUAGUAUAGGCUUAUAUGCUCUCAUGUGUGCCUGUAGACCUUGCUAUAGUAUAUACUUGUUGUGUAUACAUACCAUGUAUAGGCUAGUCGAUCUAUACCAUGGCAUUGGUUCAAUAGCCAUGUUUUUGGUGGCUCCAGCCCUAGUCACAAUAGCUCGGGACAGCUGGAGUGUUGUUAAAAAUGCAAGAGUGGUGCUUGGGUUGUUUAGCAUCGUUGGAUAUGGGUUUGCCCCACAGGUUUCUAACGGUAGGCGACAGCUAGUGACAUCCCUGUCCGUCCUUCGUAAUCCCCCCACAUUCAGGUACGCCAUAAAUGUUCGUAAAUUAGCAGUAACUACGCCGGUACACCCAUAGGGUAUUGUCUCCCUGUAGUACCUUGGUGCAUAGAACUAAGUCCUAUACACUGUGUGUGUAUGUUUACGCUGAUAUGAUCUGUGCAGUAUAUAGGAUGUAUAUAUGAACCUAGAGCUAACUCCUAGUCCGUUCUCCAUAGCUUAGUUAUCUUGAGAUGAUUCUUUUGUAUGUGUAACACUACCCAUCUUAUCAUUAUCCUUGCUCCUGUCUUGUGUAAUAUAUCUACUCAUCCUAUGAUAUACUCAUAUGCAUAGUAAACUAUUUUGACCUACCCGCCUUCCUUUGGGAAAUAUGAUACCCUGGAAUAAUCCUAGGUGAAAUCCUACAACGGUAUAUCCAUGUGCUUGCGGAUUUAUUCAUGACCAUUAAAUAUACCAACAAUCAUCACUGCCGGUUAUGGGCGUCGUUAGUGAAGGGUUGGUAGUGAUGGGCAUCCCCUUCACCAAUGGACCUGGAACCGGCGGUGAUGGCUGUUAUAAAAAAGGGGACACCACCCAGCGUACCCCGCGACCCGGCUGGCCGCACCUCCCAUCAUCCCCGCCAGCCGCCCUUCCUUUUCGCCGGCCGAGCAUGGUCCUGGCCUUUGUCCCUACCGCCUCGCCUCCACCGCGACCCCCCGCCGAUGCCCUCAUGCCUGGCCCCCCUCAUCUUGCCGGCCACCCUCCCGAUGCGUCCACUAGGGCCCUCACACCACCAACCGCCCUUGCCUAGAGAGGGAGAGAGAGGAGGGAGGUGAGGCCACGCACCUCGUCCUACACCGCCGCUGUUUCUCCUCGGCCCACCGCGCCUCACCCCACACCACAGCCGCGCCUUGCCAUCUUACCGGCUGCGACGCCUCAUCUCACCGGCCACCGUUCCUCACCCCCACUUCGGUCGUCGCCGCUCCUUGCCCUACUGCUGCUCUUUGCCGCUGCGACUGAGCGGCGAGUGGAGGAGGAGGGACGGGGCAGGAGGAGGGCAAGAUCCGGGAGGAAGGGAGAGAUCUUGGGAGGUGGAGAUGGAAGGAUAUGGCGGAAGGGAGAGAUCCAGAGGGAGAGAGCAGGGGAGAGAGGGGGGCAUGUGGGGAGAGAGUGCGUGUGGGGUGGGGCCAGGCUGGUGGGAUGGAAGGGAGAGGGGCUAGACGGGCGCAGUGCAUUCAACUGGAUGAAGUAAAUAUUUCGGAUUCGAGACCCCAGCUUUAUUAUCACCGCUGGUCCGUAGUACCAUCCGGUGCCUGCUCGUAAUUUAAUUUGAAUCUGCGGUGAUGUUUUAUUAUCACCAUCGGAUCAUAUAAAAAAUCCGGCGGUUAAAAAUCCGCUGGUUUCGAUGAAAACCGACGGUGAUAGGAUGACUGUGAUAGUCUCUUCUCUAGUAGUGGUAUAUUAGUACCGGCUGCCAGACGGUGUUGCCGACCAGUACUUCUCCGGAGGCGAUUCAGUACUGCUGUUAGCAAAGCUUGUUCUCUAUGAAUCUGGGGAUGGAAAGCUAGUUCUCUAGUUGUGAUUUGUUACAUAUAUAUCUAUGAUAGUCUAGAAAUUGCAUGUCCUUCGUUGACAUAGUUGAAGCUGCGCGCUUCAAGAAUUUACUUCGUGCAGUCGUGCAGCAUAUUGGAUUAUCACCUAGACAGGAUACAUAGGUGAAGCAUUGGAUGUGAUUGUGGCCGAUAAUUAUGCAGGACGCUGUUGCAAUCAACCACCAAGAAGUCUGGAGUGAUGGGGUUGCCUCAUCAAUAAUUUUUAUAUAUGGCUGCAGUAUUAUUAAGCCCACGUCAAUAAUUUUUUCUCCGCACCAUAUAUCGAUGGGGUUGCCUCAUCAAUAAUUCGCGCAACCAGACAAGCUGCAGACUCAAUAUGGUACGAAGCUAGUUGCUCAGCCCACAUGCUCUGAUAUAACAUUGACAUCUGCUGAUCUACAGUAUAUAUGACCAGAAAUAUUGUGCCCACCUCAAUAACUUUCUGAAGUAUCGUGGGGAAGAACCUACUCGUACUAUGCCUCGGAACUAACUGACAUAUCGGCCUAGGCGGUCUAGGCCGAUUGGACUGGCUCUUCCUUGUGGCUUCUCACGUCCCCUUCGUCCCCAAGUAAUUUCAGGUGUUCUGCAGUUUCCUUUUCACUUGCAUCUGAGCCUCAUAUAUCAAUAGCUUCGGGAUAAGAAUGCCUCUUGAUAACCUUCCAAAUCCUCGCUUGAUUCACAUUGAUUCCGAAAUCAUCUUGCCAUAUCUUCAGAGACUUAGGUCCUAAGGCAUCAUGGAGGAUUGCUCGCCAGGAAUGAGCACCAUUGGGCUCCUGAGGACCCUAGGCCGAUCAGCCCGGGCUCUAUAGGUCGAUUGGCCCAGGCCCUCUCUGGGCCCGUUGGCCUUCAUCUUUCUCUGAGUCGACGCUUAUUCAGGGCUUUGUCCAAUUAUAGUCUAUUAUAGUCUAAUUUCCUACAAAAACAGAAUGUCCUCCAAAAUACAAUGCAUAUGUGAAAACAGCCCAAUUAUUAGGUAUGAUCAAUAGUUUAGGUAUAUAAAUUAAUAUUAUUAUUUAAGAUAAACAGGGGUAAAGGGUGUCAUUAAUAACAAGCGCCAACAAGCGUCCUGGCUGUUCAAUAAAUUUUUUCUAGUACCGAUUGGUAACACUAACCGGUGCUAAUAUGUACCCUUUAGUACCGGUUAUUUUACCAGGUACUAAAGGAGACAAGAGCAUCCUAACAUAAGGUUAAUAUCAUCCAUUUCAUGAGUAAAAUACUAUGAUUCAAAAAUAAUUCAAAUCCCUUAAGACAAUACCUAUCAAAUGAGUAAAUUGUAAAUAGAGUAAUCUUGAUCAAACAAUGUCCUAAUGAAACGGAACACUUCUGGUUCGUGUAGAGCACAAUAUAGAAAACAGUAGGGUAGCUGUACGAUUGACACGUGGUCCAUUAAUUCUUGAGCCAACACUAUGGACAUGUCUUCAUGAGUAGUGUACUAGUCAUGAUACAUGGUAUGCAGUAGGUGGAGGUAUUGACUUAGCCAUGCUAUGAGCACUUAGUUACAACAAACACUUUGCCAUUAUCGAGCAUCCCAAAUCACUACAAAAUCCAUAGUUUACCAUAUACUACAAAAUCUGAGUUAAAAUAAGAGCAUACACGGAAGAGUCCGAAUGCACCGGCACAUUGAAUUACUAGACAAAAAUUAUGGGACAAGGUUUUGGGUAACCGCAUGAAAAAUAUUGGAUUUUACUGAACACUUAGUUACAAUUACCAUGCCGUGAGCACUUAGUCACCACAAACAUUUAACCACUUUAGAUCAUCCUGAAUCCCUAUAAAUUCUAUACCUUACACCGUACCAUGAAAACGACAAGAACAGAGACAGAUGCGGUGAAAAUCUCCAGAGCAAGCCUGAAAUUAAAAUAAGAGGAGGCAGUCACUAUCGACAGGACACGGAGAUUGCUAGCCAUGACAGAGGAAGACAUGAUAUGAUAUUCACCUCUGAAAUGCAGCGUAGACUAAAUGAAGCACAAUUGCAAGUGAGUGUGGCAGAUAAUGGACCAUCGAGACCAUCGAUUGGUAUGAAGCAUGAUUAUCACCUAGACAUGAUAUCCUAGACAGGACGGUGAAUUGUAAAAAGAGUAAUCUUGAUCAAAGAAUGUCCUAAUGAAACGGAACAUUUUUGGUACGUGUAGAGCACAAUAUAGAAAACAGUAGAGUAGUUGUACGAUUGAACUGCAUCCAUCGACGUGGUGCAUGAAUUGUUGAGCCAACACUGGGGACAUGUCUUCAUGAACACCAUCUAGUGAGGACAGCAUGCAGAAAAAUAUCAAAACAUGUCAUAGGGAGGCAGACCAAUCUUGCGAGGUAGACGAAACGUGAUACACGAUCUGCCUACCUUGUCGUGGAUACCCCAAGUGAAGAUGUCAUAGAGGUGCAGACCAAGCUAGCAAGGAGGUAGAUGAAACGUGAUACACGGCCUGCCUACCUUGCCGUGGAUAUUAGUCCUGAUAUCAUUCUAUUGUUCAAGGAAUAACACUCAAUGCUGCUGCUGCUGCUGACCUGGCUCCAUAAAGUUAUAUUCCUCUAGCCGCUUGCACUAACUUUAUCUGAAGUAUUAUUCUCUCUGCACUGUAUAUAUGGUUACGGAGUUUGCUGGAGUAUCCGGGGGGAAGAACCUACAUAAUAUGUCUUGGAACUAACUGACAUUGAUUCACAGACAAGGUGCUGUUGUUGCCAUAUUUUAGAGCAUCCCAAAGGACUAUAAAUAAUAUAGUUUACCAUAUACCGUAUACCAUUAUAUGUUAGCUAAAAUAAGAGCAUAACAUGUCGCAGGAGUCCAAAAGCACCGGUUGAGGACCAGGUACAUUAAAUUACUAGAAAACGAAAGGGGACAAGGUUUAGGUAGCCACAUGAAAAACAUUUGAAUUUACUGUACCAUGAACACUUAGUUACCAUGCCGGGAGCACCUAGUUAACACUAACAUUUAGCCACUUUAGAUCAUCCCGAAACACCAAUGACCCUCAAUAGCGACAAAUUUUGGUUUAAAUGCCGUCACCAAUGAUCCUCAAUAGUGACGUGUUUAGGUUUAAAUCCCGUCACUAAUAACCCUUGGUAGUGACGUGUUUUGGUUUAAAUCUCAUCACCACUGAUCCUCACUAGUGACGUGUUUUUAGCAACACACGUUAUGAAUGACUUGUCAUUGGUGACAUGUUAAACGCGUUAUCUCAAUGGCAAAUCAAUGGUGACGUGUUUAAAAAAACAUGUCACCGUGAGAGUUAUUGGUGAAGGGUAAUUAAAAUGCAUCACUAAUUUUGUAGCAUUAGUUAUGAUAUAAUUUUGUAACGCAAAAAUCUACCAUAGUAACGAGGUUUAGAGCCGUCGCUAAUGUGGGUUUCUUACGUAGUGAUGCAAGCUCUACAAGGUGCUGUUGUUGCCAUUUUAAAGCAUCCCAAAUGACUACAAGUGUCUGGUUGAGGACUAAACAAAUUGAAUUACUAGAACCAAAUGUAUGUCCAGAACAAAGAAAGGGGUCAAGGUUUGGGUAACCGCAUUAAAAACAUUGGAUUUUACUGUACCAUGAACACUUAGUUACCAUUACCAUGCCUUGAGCACCUAGUUACCACAAACAUUAAUUUAGCCACUUUAGAGGUUCCUCAAUCACUAUAAAUAAUAUACCAACACCGUACCAUGAAAACAUCAAGAAGAGAGACAGGUACAUGGACCACCAUCAAGUGAGUAGUGACAGCAUGCACAAGAAUACCCGGAACCUUUUAGCUUGUCUGUAGUGAUCUGUUUUCUUCCCCGUAAAAUCCAUGAGUAUUGCCACAAAUAAUGAAAGAGGCUGACCAAGCUAGCAACGAGGUAGAGCAAACGUGAUACACGUAGGUUUCAUUCAAGACAUCCAUGUAAGAUUCAUUCAAAACAUUCAUGGAAAUUUCUUAUAAGUUUUCAUGUAAAUUUCAUUCAAGACAUUUGUUAGAGGUGUUGUAUAUAUACUUAACGUACAUAUAUCUAUGAUUUCAUGGUUGUUAGUGAUGGCAGAUGAGGAGCAUGCAAGGUAUUUAAUGGAGCAGAUUAUUGCUAGUGGCAGUGGCUCCAACCUGCCCGUAACGUACACCGACGAAGAGGGCAGCCAGGCGGACAUGUUCCUCAACAUGUCCGGUGAUGGCAAUGAAGAGCCCGAGCAAAACCUUGCCGUGACGGAAGGUUCCAGCGAGGUAUAUAUCAUUUCCAUUAUUUUACCCCAUCUAUAAUUUCAUAUUCAUUAUUACUAUGUACUAAUUAACGAAUCUUGAACCGUUAGCCCUCUAGAUCAACGAACCGAAAUAAGCCCCGAGGUCUUACAAAGAUAAUGCAGGGAAGGCUUCACAUCAUGGAAGUCACAGAAGAGGGCACCUCGGUUGCUCCCGAACAUGUGGCAAGAACGUACGUGAGUCAAACCGGGGCAAUCGUAAGGGACAACGUGCCCAUCAGCAUCAGGGAAUGAAAGAGCAAUAGAAAUGAUCUAUACGCACCCCCGGAUACACAAAAGGAUAUGCUGUGGGCAAAUAUCAAGAAACACUUCACAUUUCCCAAAGGAUAUGUUGAAAAAGAUGUGAAAGCGUGGAUGCUGAAGAAGAUGGCCACCCAAUUCCAAACAUUCAAGAAGAUGUUGGAUGCCAACUUCGUCAAGAAGGGUCGAACUCCGGGUUUCGAUGAGUGGCCAAAGUUAAGGGACCACUGGGAGUCAUUUGUCGAAUACAAGACGAGCGAAGGUGGUGCCAGUAAGGUUCGCAUCAAUGUUGCCAAUGCUAGCAAGGAGUACCAUCAUCAUCUAGGGCGACGUGGUUACAGCACUGCAAUUCCCAGAUGGCGCAAGAUGGAACAAGACUUGAUCGAUCGGGGUAUCGUACCAGCAACUCUUGACUGGCCUGAUCGAUUGAAAAAUUGGUAUUAUGCUCAUGAAGGCAAUCUGAGCCAAGAGGAUGCGACAUUGGUCUUCAAUAAAACAAUACAUCAGAAGGUCGGAAGGCUUAUUAGGAACAUUGAAGAUGCUAAAGCUGGGAGGUUCAAGGUGGAUAGAGAGAAUGAUGAACUCACAUUGGCCCUCGGGACUGUCAUCUCUAGCACUUCCAGCUCCAGGACUAUCAUCACCACCGGGACCGUCGCUUCUUGCUCGAUCACAGUCUCCAUCUCCAGCACAUCCUGGUGGUGCGAGCGACGACGACAACAACACCCCUCCCUGCCCACCAUUGCCGGGACUAAGACCCGCAUUGUGUAAGGAACCUGCAACACCACUGAAGAAGUCGCGACCACCACCUUCAAGGCAAGUCAGCAAAAGAAGAAAGCAGAGAAGCCUAAACCCACUGAGAAGCCAGCGACUGAUAUGACCGAUGCGGAAAGAUGGAAGGCACUCAAAGAAGAAUGCAUGGAGUGGUUCAGAAAAAGGACCAAAGAAAGAAAAGGAAAGGAGAUGGAGCCACCGCCAGUAGAUCCAAGAAAAUUAUAAUUUUUUAUUAAGAUGUCAAAAGGAGCUAAGAAGAUGAUGCCACAACUAUCAAACUACGACUGGGCGUUAGUCAAGGCUGAUGAGAGUUAAAAAAGGAAAGGAAAGUCAUCGUCAAGUGGUACUGUCCCCCAGCUCGAGGAUCUACCAGAAAAAGAUGCUAAAAAGAUAGUAGCAAUGCUCUUGGAUCAACAAACACAUAUAUCGUGAGAUUAAUGCAAGAAACAGGUAUGUCCCUUGCUGAAUGUCUAUGGCAAGUUGAUAUGCUAGCUCCAGAGCCAGUUGUACCGAAAUGGACCUUUGAGCUAGGCAAGCCUCUAGUAAGGCCUGAGUUGGUACAGAAGCUAUCCACAUAGAUGCAUGAAUUCCAUGAAUGGUACAUGAAGCAGUCUGCCAAUGAGAGGGAAAUGUUCGGUCUCGAGGAAAAACUAAUAAUUUUUUUCGGCGAAGGCGAGAAAGUCGUAUGAAUCAAAUUCAAGGAUAUAUAUGAAGUGAACCAUCAGGAUGCCCUUGAUGUCUCUCUCAUCAGCGCCUAGGUUUUGUAAGUGUAUGUUUAUCUAUACGUAAAUUUUGGCUCAUAUCAUUAUUUUUUUUGCGUGCGUCACCCUACUAACUUCGUCUUCCAUUUUAUGUAGGAUGCUAAUUCAGACGUGCCGCAUAGAAGCGUACUUCCAUGUUGGCUUCAUGGAUCCAUCCCUAGUUAACCAAAAGCCGAUACGGAAGUAGCUAGAGAAAACGUUGGAGGUGGUGUACAACUUUCUGGACAAACAAAACUACAGAAUAGGGGCAAUAUGUGAGGGUCUUGUAGGAUUCCUAGUGGACGAGGUGAUAAAUCCAUAAGGAGAAUAUCAUUACAACGGACGAGCAUUAGACACACUGAGCAACACCUAGACGGGAGGAUCCUAGGAAUGACCUCAACAGAUUUUGGUAUAAAUAGUAAUUGUGUAAAUACUAGUUUGAUUUGUAUAGGAAUAUACUAAGAAUUGUAUAUAUAGUAAUUGUACAAAUACUAGUUUGAUUUGUAUGAAUACUAGAUUGAUUUUAUUAUAAAAAAGUUUUAAGUCGUACGUGCAUGCGCCUACAAAGGCGCGGAUGCCCUUUAAUCCCAGUCGGAAAAACAAACCGGUACUAAAGGGGCUCGUGCCGCACCUGGCAUGACCACCCCUUUAGUCCCGGUUGAACGACCCAGGACUAAAGAUCUCCGCGUCUCAAAAAUUUUAUCUCGGAUGCUUUUUAGAGAGAUUUGAGGCCUAUCAACCAAGACUAAUAUCGAGUUUUCUACCAGUGGAACUAACUAACGUUCACAUGCUUUUGACAUUCACCUGCCAUUUGGUGUAGACAAGGGCACCCUAACAUAUGGUUAAUAUUAUUCUUGAAAGAAAAUCCUUUGAUUCAAAAUACUUCAAACCUAAUAAUACAAUACUUCUCACAUCUCAAAAAUAUGAGACGGCCCGACAGUAUUCUAACCGACGCAAUAAUAUUUUGAGGGCAGCACUACUACAGCGACCCUCAUUCGUGCCGGUGCUGGGACUCCUAUCACGACCCUGAUACAAAUGAGGGUACAUUAUUGGUGCCAGUGCUAGAACAGCCACCAAUAACUUGCUAAACGUGCUGUUACACUCACUACAGGGACCAAGAAGGUAGAUAAAUUACACGACAUAGCCUUGGUUGCCGUGGAAGCGCCAAGAAGGGAGACAAAUUACAGGGACCACACCAUCAAGUAGAUAGUGACAAUAUGCAGAUGAAUACCCGCGCCUGUUAGCAUGUGAACUGACCACACCACGAAACGUGAUACACGGCAAGCGUACCAAGGCCUUGCUGUGCAGACUAUGCGUGGACAACACAUGGUACCUGACCGCUUUUGGCCUCAGACACAUCGAAAAACUGCAUCGUUCCACGUUGUACAUCCACUGCUAGUUUAUCUAUAUUACAUAAUAUAUUAUUAGCUAUUUGAAUAGAAUGAACCAAUUAAAAAAUUGCGUUGUAUUUUAGUACCGGCUGCAGGAUGGUGUUACCAACCAGUACUAAUUAGCCUGUAGGAGUGAUGGUUAUUAGACUUGGUACUGUUGUUACAUCAUUAACCUAAUUGUGCGCGGUAUGAAUUUGGGGAUGCAAAGCUAGCUCUCUAUGAAUGUGAGGGACGGAAAGCUAGUUCUCUAGUAGUAAUUAGCUAUAUAUAUAUGACAGUCAAGAAAUCGAACACUAUGCUGCUACGAGUCACCAUCAUUUCCUUCAUUGAGAAUCUGACAUAGGUGAAGCUGCUUCAAGAAUUUCCUUCGCGCAGUCGUGGAGCUUAUUGGAUUAUCACCAGGACGGGACACGGAAAUGGCCAGCAAUGAAGCUGAUUGCCGUCUGAGGAAGACUACAUACUUUACCUAUGAAAUGAAGCGAUUGCAUAGACUAAUGAAGCAUUGCAUAUUUGCAUGUGAGUGUGGCAGAUAAUUCUGCAGGACAUGAUUGCAAUCCACGCACCAUCGAGAAGACUGGGGCGAUGGGGUUGCCUCAUCAAUAAUCACGUGGAUGCAUGCAUGCAUGUUCCCGCAACCGGACAAGGGUCUGAUAUAUGGCUAUAGUAUUACUGAGCCCACAUCAAUAAUUUCCGCUGGUGUAUCGUGUGGGAAGAAUCAACAUACUACACCUCGAGUUCUUGGAACUAACUGACGUUCACAUGCAACCUCCACAAGGUGCUGUAUAUAUGCUUUUGACAUUCACCUGCCAGUUCGUGUAGAGGACACCCUAACGUAUGGUUAAUAUUAUCCAUUUCAUGAGUAAAAUACUGUGAUUCAAAAAUACUUCAAAUCCCUUGAGACAAUACUUCUCACUUGACUAACCACUAACCAACCCCGAAACCCUAACUCAACUCCGAACCCUAACACCUAACGGCAUAACCACUCCGUUUUGCCAGCCAGAUGGAGGAACUGGCUGGGAGGGAGAGAGGGCAGCGGUCCAGGGUUGAAAACGACGGGCGAGCGCAGUAACAUGUGGAGGAGGAAGUGCCACGUAUUCGUUCACCGCUAUUGGGCAGCGACACACAACACGCCCAAUAAGAUCUUCGCACGGUAGAAGGACGUCAUGUAUUCAAUAAUGUUAUUGGUCCUCCAUGUGCAGAAGGGCGCGUAUGGAAUAACAAGUAGGGACACUGCAACUAAUCUACUCUGCUCGUCCAGUCCCUAGCCUAUAAAUAGAUGCCAUGCUAGCUCUUGUUGUGCUCACAGUUAAUCCGAUUACACACGAGCUCCUCUCCCUAGCCAAGACACAAUCAUAGUAUGAUGAAGAACAUGGCACUAGCCGGCAAUGGUAUGAAGAAGUUAAUCCUCGCUGUUCUCUUACUGUGUCUAGUUAUAGGGCAGAUACAAGUGGAAGCUAAGAGCUGCUGCCCAUCCACCACUGCAAGAAAUGUCUACAAUACCUGCCGUUUGACGGGUGCAUCCCGUCCAAUGUGUGCAAAACUGUCAGGCUGCCAAAUUAUCAGCGGGAACAAAUGCAAGCCCCCUAACGACCACCUCACCCUUGACCCGGACACUGGUAAAUAAUAAAUUUAUCUCACUUGAUUUCUUUGUGUUUUGAGUCGUUAAUGUAUUUUCCAUCUGAUGAAACGCAUUGGUUUUGCAUUGAAGAGGAAGUUAAUGUGCUUAACUUCUGCAAGUUGGGGUGUGCGUCGUCUGUGUGCAACAACAUCAACGCUGGUAAGCACCUUUUGCUCAGACAGAGAAAACAAUAAUCAUUAAUUAGCGGCAGCUAGAAUCCUAUAAUCUAAUAUAUAUAUAUAAUUUUAUCAGCUCUGGGAAAUGAAGAGGCGAACGAUGCCGUUGAGAGUUGCGACCAAGCCUGCUCUAGCUUCUGCAGCGUGCAUGUUGGCAGCGCCACCGUGGUUGCUUAAGCAAAUGCAUCCAACUAGAUCGUCCUUGUGCUGAAUAAUUGGAUAUCGUAUCCACUUAAAGCUGCCUUGUGUAGUACGUCUUUGUGUCUCUCUUUAUAUUCCAAUAAGGUCGGUGAUCUUGAUGCCACACACUCAGAUGUGUGUUCAUCUCCAGAUACUACUCCAUGCUACCUGCCCUUUGUGUUUUGUUCAAUAACUGGGUAUCAUAUCCGAGCCAGUAUGCCGUCUGUUUUGUGUUUGUUUCCUUCUAGUUCCAAAGGGGUCAUCAUGAUGUUACCUUCUUUCAAUAUGGUGCUUUGCAUGACUACUGUUGUAUGGUACCAUCUUGUGGCCAAUAAGUACAUCUUAUCCUAUGACCCUUUGCUAUGACCCUUUGCAAAUAAGUAGAAGAUUGUUAUAAGCGUCAAUACUCAGUAUAAUUGAUCGCUGCUGUGAGUUCCCUUUCAGCUUAUCGUAGGCAUACAUUAUUGCUAGCACGGUAAAGCCAACCAACACGAAUGAUGAAGUAAACGUAGCGGUACUUCUGUAUACCAACACCCUUACUUAAAUGUACCGGUGUCAUUCCCUACUGGCACAUAUAUUCUUAUAUGCUAGCCAGCUUGUAAAAUUAACCAAUUAAAAUAAUUAUUUCAAGAUAGAAAUAACUUAUUGGCUUCUCGAAGCAUGUGUAAUGUGAAUUCAUGAGACUUCAAGCAACCAGGAAAAGACACUAAUAAACAUCCAGAUCCCAUCCAGCACACAUCCAUGCACAUAUAUAACCCACAUAUUGCUCCAGCACACAUCCAUGCAUAUACGAUAUCCAAAUGUUAAUAUUGUAGACAUCCAUGCCUGAACUAGUCUGCCACACAAGUCAUUGAUGCUACAAAUUCUACAAUCGCAGCAUGUGCAUACAACUUACAGAAUGAGAUAAUGUACCAAAACUAAAACGUUAGCAUCAACUGUGCUUCAACCAAAGUUGUCAUCCCAACUCUCCUCUUCAUCCAUGCCAUUCUUGUCAUGGCCGUCGCUGUCAGUCUCCAUGGCAUUGCCAAUGCUGUGUAUGUCUUGGUAGGAACCUACAUGUGAUGAACAGUAACCUGCAAAAAGAGCUCAAAGGAUCUUGUUCUCAUAUUGUAGCUGUGAAAUUCUUGCAAGUAGUGUUGCAAUCUGUUCACUUUGAACCAAAAGAGCUCAAAGGAUCUUGUCCUAAAAGUUCCUCUUAAAGCUUAUGGGUUUGCUGGUGGAACCGGAAGGGCUUGAUGCAGCAGAUGCCAUUCUGCAAUAGAGAAAAAUUUAGAGGGCAGUACUAGUUAAAAUUUGAUGCAGCAGAUACACACGAAACUAGUAUUUAUACAAUUCUAUAUAUGUAAUAAUUUGUCCCCUAAAUUUUUAGGAUCCUCUUGAUGGUGGUGAGUCUUCCAGUAAGGCAAUUGAAUGUCCGUCAUAAUAAAAUUCUCCUUAGGAUUUAUCAUCUCGUCAACCAGAAAUCCUAGGAGUGCUUCUUGGAUUGCCAAAACCCUAUCCUGAUGCAGGAGUUCGUCCUUAAGCCUUAACAUUUGUAAUUUGGAAAUAUGUGAAAGUUAAACCAACAAUUAAAAUAUAAGGAGCCUUAUCAUCAUUUCCAUGUGUUGCGAAUUAAAAUAAUGAAUAAUACAGUGUUAGGUGAAAAUUCAAGAAACAAAAUUUUGCAUAGAGAUAAACGUCCAACAUUAUUACAAGUUAAGGUAGUUUUAAAUAUCCUUGUAAUCUUCCUUUGAUUUCCUCAACGAUUCGAAGACAAUAACCUUACUUCUAUCAAUGAUAAUUAUAAGGAGAACCCAGUGAAAACUGUGUAUUCAUAUUAGAACUACCUAAGGUUAAUUAGGUUAGGAAAGGAAAUCGAAAAUAGAUGGUACCCACACUUACUUAAAGUUGUCGGGCAAUAGUAUGUAAUGCUUGUAAUUCCGUUGCUCCAAGAAUUUGUAUAUGUGGUCCAAUGUAGACUUUGGUUGAUUCCGUAUCUGCUGUUGGUUAAAUAAGUGUUUCUAGCCAUUACUAGCCGUUAGAACUCGGACUAAAGGGGGCUCUUUAGUACGGGUUGAUAUUACUAAUCGGGAUUAAAGAGCCCCCAUUAGAGUUGGUUUUUGGACGCGGAACUAACAACUCCUUUAGUCCUAAGUACAAAAAUGACUGAAAUAUUUGUUGCUGGAUGGAAGGUCCUUUCUCUACCAUGAAUAUUGCCAGAAAGAAUUGAAAGAGACUGCUUGCUAAAAAUAUGUCAUAGAUGUAGACCAAGCUACCAAGGAUGUAGACCAAACAUGAUACACACCAUGCGUACCUUGCUGUGCAGACUAUGCAUUGACAAGAUAGAAAUAAUUAAUUCUAAUAUGCGUACCCUUACUUACACUAGUAGAGAAUUGGGCUUUAAUCCCGGUUGGUAAGGUGCAAAUAUCUCGAAAAUGCAUCCGGGAUAAACCAACCGGGACAAAAGGGGGAUCUUUUAUCCCGGGUCACUCAACACGCGAUUUUUCACAAAAAAAAAA
rnacentral:lncRNA from 1 species